UCAGAUAUGGUUUGUUGCAAGCUGCUCAUUAAAUUCAAAUUUUAUGUUCUAUUCACUUUAGUCCAUCUAGAAACUCUAAAGGGAUGUUGACUAUCGACUUCAACAGUUUGGCAUUAGAUAACUCAACUCCACCAAUCUUAAUAGCAUUCACUAUCUGUGCACCUAUUGAUGAACUCCAUCUUCCUCACUCUCUUUUGCUCAUUUUUCGAGAAACUCCAACUCUGCUCCCCAAACAAACUUCCUAACUUCAACUAAACAACUUUGCACUCAAAGUACAAAUUUUCUGACUUCAACAUAUUAACUCUAGACUUUAAAGCUCAACUCAACUGUCCAAACAAACACCCCUAAAAGUGAAAUAAUCCAUUAUCCAAGAAAAAUAACAUGAAAACUAGAUAUAUUCCAGAGAAUGACAGAAAAGAAGAAACAAUUUCAUAAAAUUACCAGUGAGGAUUCAUUUUGAGAUCUCAGGACUUUUAUUUGUCCACCUCUCCCGUCAGCACCAACGGCAAUCAGUUCACCUGAACGUGAACCUUGCAUUGCACUUGAGUCAUUGGUUUGUCCACGUUUGCACCAUUUACCCAAAUACAUAUUUGAUCCACUAGGGCCAAGUAGUCCACCAGAAAAAGACAUACCUCCUGGAUAUGGUAAUGUCACCACCUCAAAUAUGUCAGUAUUUAUCAGUUGCUUUUUUUAGGAAAAAGAAGAAACCAAGUAUGUGUUACCAAACUCUACGCUUAAUAAUGUACCAUUACCUAGCUUAUUGAGUGAUAUGUGGCUAGAGGAUUCUCGCCUAAUGUUAAUAAGGACAGCUUCAGGUUCUGCAGAGUCUUCAACCAACAAGGGCAUGCAUGCAUCCCCCGGGACAGCAGUUCUGACUAUAUUACUGACUGUAGUUGAAGGCAUAGGAUUUACUGAAUUGGUUGUUCUUUCUGAUGCCUUUUUCCGGACCAAAUUGCAGCUGGUCAACUGCGGAUGGUAAGACACUCGGUUUCCUUCCUCACUUAUUUGGCUUUCCAUGGUAGAAUCUUUGGCAUUCUCAACUUGAGAACAUUCUGAAGUUUUCUUAUUCAUUGAGGAGCAUGUGUUCUCAGCUAUAUCUACCGUGGUCAAAUGGCUUGUACGAGUAUCGCUUGGAAAGUCAUAAAUUUUCUUUUUUCUAGAAGAUAACGGUUCGUUGAUCUGGCUUGCAGUUGAAUCUAAAGUAUCUGUUGCAGCAGCGGACUUAUUUUUUGCUGAUACCAUGUUACAUUUACAACAAACACUACCCUGAACUCCUAGUUUUUUUGCGUCUUUCAAGCCUCUUAGAACUUCAUUAUCUUUUUCUUCAAUGGCUUUCUCUAGUUCUUGGACCCUUACCUGAUAAUAAUCAUACAACAUUAAAUCGGAGCCAAAGAAUAAGAGGAAAUUUUUGUUAUGAGCUCACCUUCAGCUUAUUUAUUUUCUCAUUUGCCUUCUCAAGUUUCUUACAAGAGCGAGCCUCUCCCCUUCCAAGAAGAUUGCACUUAGCCAUCAGUUCUUUAUAACUCCUGUGGAAAAAUUAAGAUUUUGUCAAAGAACAUUGAAAACGAAGAACUAGCCAGAGAAAAUACAAACAUAUUCCAAUCAUUGGUCUGAUCUUCAAGAAACAUUAUUAUAUACUUGAACAACAUGGCUUUUGAUUCAUUAAAGUUGCUCUAAGAUUUGAUUUAAGGCCAAAUAACACAAUUGUGAAAAGUUAAAUUCCAUUAUUUCAGAUUCCUUAGGUGAUGUGAGAUAUUGACCUAUUACGCAGGACCAAGGAUUUCCUUAGAAUGUCAAUUGUAUCUUUAUUGUCUGCUCCACUACCCAAUGAAGAAAGCUUUAGGACCUCCUCUUCAUCAAGAUCCACUUCAGAUAUUCUGUAAUAAAAAUGAUAACACUGUUGGUAUGCAAAAACACAAAAGAGGAAAAAAAAACCUUUUCUUUUUAUUUUCUAGCAACAAAACUCGCACUUACAACUUAAAAGCUGCAAGUUCUUUAGCUAAAGCCAUACUUCUUUCGUGCAACCUUUUGCACUCAACAGUUGUGUUUUCGAGCUCCUGCCAGAUCAGCAGGCAAACACCAUGAAUGUAUAACAUAAUCAGUUCGUAAAGGAAGAGAUUGCAAGGGAAAAAAACAUAAAAUCUUAAAAGGUAUUGGAAGUAGAGACGAAGAACAAACACAAGUUUUACAUGAAAACCCUAGUUCAAGGAGAAAAAUCAGUGCAAAUCUUUCUUACUACUUUCUUAUAAAACUAAUGAUACAAGCGAAGCGAGAAUUAAUUUGUAGGUAAUAGAAGCCUAAGUAAAAUAAUGAAAGAUAUUAGGACAACAUAAAAAGACCUUUGGACUUUCAACAUACAACAAACAAGCCCACUAGUUCUAACAAAAGGGAUUGUUGACCUCAGAUUUGAGAUGAAGCAGUUGAGACAUUGAAGUUUUUUGUUUCAUGGCAUCAUUCCUCAAUCCUACUUCUUUCUUCAGUUCAUCCUGGCAAAGUUGAAGCUGAAACAAGAUAAUGUGAUUAAGUACCACGUGUAUACAUGAAUGAUGAACCCAUCAAUAGUUAACAUGAGCCAAUAACAGCAGAUAAAGCUUUCUCUAGGAGCUGAAGAAUUCAAAUUUUGAUGUUCAGAAGAAAAUCAUUGCUGAAUGUCUCAAGUCGAGUCGUUUAGGACACAAGUAAACAAAGAAACUAUUAGUUCUGAAGUUAGAUUAUACUGAUCCAUGUAGAGAAGCCUCCUUGCUAACUACUCAAAAGAAUCAAAAUAUGCAUUAUUAUAAUAAACCAAAAUGUAGAAUAAAAACCAGUUAAAAAAUCAUUCCUUGAGAAACCAAGUACGUUUUCAAUUUUCAUAAGAAAGAUUAAAUAAAAAGUACAAAGCUAUAACUAGAAGCGGCGUCGCCAUAAAACAUCACCUAAGCCCCAACGCAACUAAAGAAAUACCAAACAUUCCUCAAUUACUAUCUUAUGAUAUAAGAGGAAUAGUUACAAACAGAAAACUCCUAUCAACCAAGCUCCAGUAGAGGCCAAUAAAAAAAUAUGAAACUACACCUACUUUCUGUAGCUACCUUACAAAGGCCCAGCAUUACUUUCCUAUCAAAUGUUCCAAACAUAGAGUAGUAAAAUCAUCACACCACACCACAGAUGGUCGAGGAUCCCACGUUGAAAAAAUUAAAAAAAGAAACCUCACAUUGUUUAAAAGAUACAUGGGUUACUCUCUCCAUGCCAAUUAGUUUUGGGUUGGAAUCCCACUUUAACUAAUAUGGUAAUAUAGCUUAUGAAGCCCAAAUAGACAUGCAGUCCAAAAAUGAAAAUUGAGACCAAUCUCAAAAUGGCGAACCCAAAGAGACACUUGUUGAGUGGAAAUAUUGAGGAUAUCACAUUGGAAAAAUUGAGAAACCGCAAAAAUUUACUAAGAUGGAUUACCUCCCUUCUUUUCAAUUGAUUUUGAUAUAGAAGCUAUAUCCUCCCAAAACAACCACUUAUAAAGACCUAAAGAAAGCACCAUUAAAACUAAGCAAGUACAACCAAAUGACAAUUAGUGCAAAUUCUAUCACUGUGAAAAGAAUCAACGCCGAAGACAAAGUGAAGACUAAACCUUUUCAAAGACUGCUAAUUUCUAAAGUUGUAAGCAUUAUAAAGAUUAGAAAUCAAACAUCCAAGCAUUCAGUAUCAAACAUCUAACCGUUCUAGUUUUCUCAACAAUCAAACAGAAAUACCUCCUCAUGAAGCUCUUUGAUAUCUUUCCCUUGAGUUUCCAAUGUCGAAUUAAGCACCGAUACCCUCAUCUCCAACCUCUUGACCUCACUUCUCAACAACUCCGGAUCUUUCUCAAUCCAAUCAGCCGGUUUCUUAGCCAGCAUUGAAUCAUUCGCAUCCCCCACAGAUUGAAAAUACAACCGCGCAACAUCUUUUCCCACACAGGUCUGCUUACACACAGGACAACUGUAUUUCUUCUUCCCAUUCGAACAAUACUCAAACCACUGCUGUAAACUAAAGAACCCCAAUUACAAAAUUUACAACUCCUCAAUGUUCCAAACGAACAAGGAAAAAAAAAAGUCAAUACAGAGCGAAAAUCAAUAAAUGGUUUCCUUACCAGAGCUCGUGGAAGACAUGGCCACAGAUUGAGAUGGAUUGAAGAUCCUCGAUGAUGGGUUUUAGAUCCUCGUAGCAAAUUGAGCAAAUGGUUUUGGCAAAACCGCAACCAUUGUCCAUUGAUUAUGCUUUCUGUAGGUUAUUGAAUGAAGAAUUUGGGAAAUGGGGUUUUGCAAUGUGUUAUGAGAAGAGAAUUGGAGGGAAAUUUUGGAGCGGAAAUAAGAGAUAUUUGAAAAAGGAAUUGAUUGAAACCAUUGUUGUAGAGCGGGAAAGAGUGGGAGAGUUUUCACGAAAAUUCAAUUUUUCCCUCUUCUCUUUUCUGGGAUCUCAUUUUGUUCUUUCUUUUUUUUUACAAUUAAUUACAAUUCCACAAUUUUAUUUUUUCAAUUUCUCAUUAAAAAGAAAAAAGAAAAUAAUCAAACAUAGCAUCAAAAUAUUUACCCUUUGUACCAAAAAAGUAAAUGUAAUAAAUUUUUGUUGGAUUCUUUCGAUAAACGGUAGCAAUUUUAAGCUUAAUAAUUAAGUAUAUAACAUCGAAUAUAAGUGAAUAUUAAUUUGUGUAGUUAGAAUUAUUUUCUCGUACAUUCUUAUAAUAUUUUACUUGUCUAAAAAAACACAAAAUCUAAUGAAAAAUUACUAUAAAACUUAUUUCACCCAAAGGAAUUAAUAAUAACAUGAAAAUUGUUUUUGAUCCUUUUCAAAUUAUUAAAACUUUACUUUACUUAUAUGUGUGUAAGAGUAGGUAUCAACCAUAAGUUAAAAUCAAUUUUACCAAUAUUUAUAGAUUCUUUAUGGUUGAACAAUAUAAUGAUAAUAAUUUGAAUAUACGUGUAACGGUUUAAAUCAUAUAGUAUUUUUUAUCGAAAAGUCAAGUAAUUGAAUCUCUAAAUAUUUUAUAUUUACCUAACAAUAAGCUUCGUCUUUCUCAAACAAUAUAUAAUAAGGUAUGUUAGAUUUUGAUAUUUUGGUAAAAGAUCAAAUGAGUGAAACAACUUUUGUAAAGGCUAUUCGUAUAUAUAGAACCAAAAGAAUAGAGGAUAUAAGAAGAUUAACAUACUCUAAAUUUCACAGCGUGUACAAAAAAAAACAGCCUUCGAAUGAAGAACAAAUAUAGUAUUAAAGUCUACAUCUUCAUCUUCCUCUUGCAUUUCUGAUCCUCAAUUGACUUACUGAAUAUAUUGAUCACGAAUGUACAAUUCAUCUUGACAACAACGUUUCUCCCUAUAAAAUGCAACAACUUCACUUUUCCUGGGAUCCUCGAGAAGCUUCUCAAUCUCACCUUCCCCAAGCUCACAUCGUUGUUGAGGUUCGACAAAACUCGAUCGGCAACGAUGUCAAUGGUGACAUUCAUUCGCACAGUUUGUCGUGCCUUGGCUUUCCCCGACGGCCCUCGUACCUCCCCUAUCACUGUCUCAUUGAUGAAUAGAGUUGUAGUGGUGUUACUGUACUUGAACGAUGCCAUGUUGGGAUUUUUUACUGACACAUCGGCAGUCAGUGACACGUUGGAUCCUGGCUUUGGUAUGACAUUGUUGAUCAACUCCAGCUUUGUGAUUGAAACUCUAUUCAUUUGGAUUAUGGGAUCCUUGAUUUGAAAUAGAGUGAACAUCAAGAUGAUGAUGAUUACUAUCGUUGGAAUCAUGAGAAGAGCUACUAUGAAACUGCAACAUUUUAUGAAUCUUUUUCGUUGGAUUCUCUUUAGAUGUAAUCUUGUUUCGCCGUUGUCGCUACUCAAACGAUUGAGGGUAGCUGGAGUGAGAGGCUGAGCUUGGUCCUUGUCCACCAUGGUUAUGGAACAGUGGAGAAAAACUUUAAGGUUAUGAGAGAUUUUAAGUACUGCUUAUUGAGUUUUGUUUAUAAGGCGAUGGUUUAGGGAAGUGCCCAAAAUUUGAAGCCAUUGAACAAUGUUGAAUUAAAGGCAAGCAAAGACAUGCAUGACUUUUAGGCUAUGAUGUAGUGGUUGUAAAUAUGCACUUAAUGAAGAGAAGAGUGGAAAAAGAAGUCAAGUUGUUCAUAUUGUAUUCUGUGUUUGUGUUAAUUUGUAAUUGGUCCAUGUGUGUGUUUUGUGGGAUAAGUAGGGACAAAUUGCUUUAAUUAUGUGUGAAAAAUAUUGUUUCCAAAUAAAUUGGAUGGGGCCUAAGCUUUGACAAAACAAGCUACAAAUAAGUUUGAUAUCAAUCCCAAGUAAAUUUACGAGGCUCUAAAAUGUGAAAGUUGUUAAAAAUACGCGAACCACUUUAAACAUCGGGCAUCGUAACAUCAACUAAUUAAACCAAAAAACGACACCGAUCCAUAAGUUAACUAUCACAAUUUUAAUUAAUUUUGGUAGUAGAAGUCAUACUUUGUAUGAGUGGUCGACUUUGAAUGUCAUUGUCCCUAUUGAUAUCAGAUUUUGGACAAGAAAAAGGUACACACGACUUCCACGUAACAUCAACAGUAAAUUUAUUUGAGAGGAAAAAAAAAUGUAACUUAUGGAAGCUAAAAAAUUUGAGAGUAAAAAUCAAAUUACCUUGUACAAAAUGAUAAUGAUAUAUUAUAGAGAAACUUGACCUAAUUUUGUUACUAGAAUUUGAAAGUAGCUUUGGGAUAAUUAAAUGAUGUUUAACUCGUGUUGGCAUCAACCUUGUCAAGAUUGAACUUCUUAUUUAAACAAUAUUGCAGAUUAAGCAUUUAGCAAAGGUUAAAUAUUGGAUCAACUCCAAGCCAACACUUUUUCGUUCCCAUUUAUAUCAAACGUAUGUUCCAUCAUUUAGUCAAAAUUUAUCCUUAAUAAUUCUCAUUCAAUAGGGAAUUUCUUACUAAUAUUUUCUUUAAAUAUUCAAUUAGGUAACAUUUUAGAAGUUUGUUCUUUUUAUAUAUCACCCAGUAGUAACAUUUUGAAAGUAUAAGCAAAACAAAUAUACUUUUCUCCCAAAAUUAAUAACAAUAAAAAUUAGUUUGAUAUUAUCUAAAAAAUCCACAAAAAAAAGAGUUUUUGUUAUGUGUCAUAAAAGUUUCACCGCCACGUGGAAGGUCUCAAGCGUAAACAGCCGUCGUAGUUUGACACUCUGGCCUGGCCACGUACUGUAGAAUUGCCACCUCGUUCAUCCAUUUAUAUAAUAAUUAAAUUUCUUCACUUACUUUCUAUUGCACUAUCCAUGGCGGACUCUUCAGAAACUGUACAACCCAAGGCGGUGGAAAUCGCCGACGAUAAUAUUAACAAUGAUCAACACCCCAUUACUCCAUCUCCCCCGCCAUCCUCUAAUUUCAACAAAAUGGACCAUUCUCUGCCACUUUCGCCGGAGGACGAGACGGCAGAGAGUUCUCAAAUGUUAGAGAAAAAGCAACCUGUUCAUCGUGUUCUUGGUGCUGGAAAGCGUACGGCUAAUCCCUCUUUGUGUUUUUCCAAUUCUUGUAUUUUUUUUUUCAUCUCUAAAAAUGAGUGAAAAUGUUUACAAAGUAGAACCAACUUUUAUAUUCUAUGUUUAUAUUUCAUACAUAAAUUAUGAUAUUUUUUGAAAUUAUUGUUUUAUUAACAUACAUCAUCUUAUGUAUAUAUAUAUACGUAUGGAACUCGAAUUUUUGUUGGUGCAUCAUAUACUGUUAUGCAUUUAAUUUUAUUAUGCUUGUUCAGUUGGUGACAUUUGGUCUUUUUCUUUUUGUUUUGGAAUUAUGUUAGUACUUCCAUAAGUUUUGUUCAAUAGUUUCAUCUUGUAACAUUGCAAAUUCAAAACGACCCUAAGUGCUUAUUUUUAUCCAAACCAAUAAAUAUUGGAGGCAGCAUCGAAUGAGGUCGUGCAUGUUGAUUAACAUUUGGCAUUAUGUAAUGAUCUUGUUUUUGGUAGUUGCUGACGGGUUGUUAUGGCGGGACAAGAAGGUGUCGGUUGCGGUUGUUGGUGGAGCAACGAUAGUUUGGGCGUUUUUUGAAUUGCUUGAAUAUCAUUUGCUUCCAAUCUUAUGUUAUGCGUUGAUCGUGGUUGUUGCUCUCUUGUUCCUUUGGUCCAAUGCUCAUAUACUCAUCUACAAGUACGUUUCAAUACCUAAAAUCUCUCACUUUCAUUAAGUAUGAUGGUAGUGUAUGCUUGAACCUAGCUCUUACAAAAAAAAUUGAGUGCAUUAAUAGGAGCCCUCCUCAUCUUCCGGAAGUUCGUAUUAGGGAGGAACCAUUUCUACAGGUAGCUUCUGCAGUAAGGACCGAGAUCAAUCGGGCCAUUGCGAUCUUGCGUGAUGUUGCAUCUGGGAGAGAUGUGAAGAAGUUUAUUGCUGUAAGUGCUGUUAAAAUAAACUGCCCAAUGCACUAAUUGCCUUCAAUACUAUAUGAACUUUUUAACUUUAGAGCCUACUUAAUUAGAUUGAACUGCAUAAUCUUGUUUUUUUAUUAAUUUUUUGAUCCAAUGAAUGAAAUAGCUCCAUUCAUUUGAUAUGUUCAGAUUAUUUGUUUUAAUUUUCUCUACAACAUUUGUUGUACUUAUUAUAAGUUCAUAGAAAUCAAUCCUAACCUUAAUUAACAACCUACGUGAUCAUGUUUAUGUUUAUUUAUAAGAGCAAUGACGAGGCAAAAAAAGCACCAUAUGAUGGGCUAUGCAGCCCAGUUGUAACCAAGUAUUCUCAUAUAUUCUAAUAGUGUUGAGUUUUACAAUGUCAGGUGGUUGUUGGCUUGUGGUUCCUAUCAGUAGUAGGAAAUUGGUGCAAUUUUUUGACCUUGUUUUACAUAGGUAAGAUUUACUUUCACAAUACACCUCGAAACUCCCUGACCAUUUCGACAUUACUCAAUUUUUUUCUUCUUUUUUUACAGUUGUGGUACUGCUGCACAUGGUACCGGUCUUUUACGAGAAGUACAAGUACAAAAUCGACUCAUUUGCGGAAAAGAUCGUGGCCGAGAUUAGAAAGAAGUAUACAGUUUUUAACGAGAAAGUGGCGAGUAAAUUUUCCAAAGAACCAUUAAGAGACAAGAAGGAUUGAAAGAAAGGGAGGAAAAGAGUAUAAUGUGUGUUCUCUUUUGGACUUGAAAGUCUUCAUUUUCGUUCUGGUUAAUGUUGUGUAAAUGUUUUGAUUUGAAGUUCAAACCAAAGCUUAUAUGUGUCCUUGUACAUAUCAAACUUUUAGUGUAAGGUUACUUCUUUUCUUGAAUUUGAUUCGGUAGAUGGAUUUUGAAUAGUGUGGUGAAUUGAUGUGGUUGUAUUAUGUGGUGAUCGUUGAGACUUGUAUGUGACAAAAUUGACUAGGGAAUGAAUGUGAAUGGGUAUACUUCUGCCUAUAAUAUCUUGAUUGUUUGCCAAGUAAUGUUUAUGAUUUAUAUAGUACGUUUGCAAUGGUUGUGAGUUUGAAAAUUCAGGUCGGCGCUAAGGUUAUAUAUGAUCCGCCUCACCAAGUUCGAAACCAGCGAGUUUCUGACUUCUUUGGACCGUCCUGUCUAACUCGAGAGUACACACUUAAUGUAUGUAAUUUGAACGGGGUGGAUCGGUCUAACUCAGAAGUAGACAUACACCUUUGCAUGAUCGCUAUUGCUAUUUCAUUUAUCGAUCGUAAAUUUAGGUUCAUUCUUCAUAAAUUUAGAUUUCACAUACGUUUUAACCAUAUCAUGGGCAUAGUUGCGCUAUACUAUACAGUAGAUUAUUAGUCUUAUUGUGCAAAUGAGUGAGCAAGAAUGAGUGUUAUUACGCUUUGAGGUCGAUGUUUUAUUGAACGAUCAAAAUUGUAAAUUUUCUAGUUGCAACUUUAAAAUGGAGGAAAUAUGUCAUUUGUUCCUUUGUAAAGCGGGAUGCUUAUGAAACUUGCAAUCAUUAGCACAAGAGCUGUGCUCUAGAUCGUGAUUUUGCACGUGAGAGAAACAAAAAUAUUGAAACAAAUAUGAACAAAAACACCCCAUUUAUUCGAUUCUUUGCACAACAAAUGAAGUUUCAAGAUAUCGAAAACAUAAAGCUGUGAGACUUGUAGCUCUUCAAACGACUGCACCCGGAUAACCCAACACUAACCACCCAGUAAAAGAAUAAAUUGAACAUCACAUGGCUUUAUCGUCAUUAACAAACUCAAUACUCUGUAGUUUUCUAUUAAUUUGAAAACGAAAGAAAAUCUCAGUAUUUCGGAAGCGGUCUUGAGUUAUAAGUGUUCUCAGACGAUGAUGAUGUGAGAGGAACUGUUGAGAACUCAGAAUCAGAGUGGUGUCUUGAAAGGCGAAAAUCACUGCCAAAAGGAAGGUGAGUCGAUUGAAGAUGAGAAGGAAAACCUGUUCUUGAAGGAUUGGGUGUCGAACCAAUCGUCUUCGUUCUGGGAUCAAGUAACGGUGAACCAGCACUGGCAACAUCUGAGCUGCUAGAUUGGGAUGCUUCCCGAAGCUUGAGGCUUUCCUCGGCUUCUCUCUUCUCUCUCUCCUCAUUCUCCUUGAGAAGAAAGUCAACCCAUAAAUCUGCAAAGGACUGAAAGGAAAAUCCAAGCUUAGAACAGACUUUUACUUUUAUUGACGAAGUUAAAAGAAUUAAAAUGUUACCACUUAGUGGAGAUCCCAAAACCAUAUAAAAAUGUAAAAUUUCUAAAUAUGUAGGUUUAUUCGAGAUCAGUCUUCGAACACUCCGAAAAUAAUAGCAAUAAAUUACUGCUACGGUCCCCUGUACUAGCAUAUCAUCAUUUUGUUGGAUAGAUGAAUACCAUGACCGGAUAUGUAUAUUAUUAACGAAAUGAAGUGAGCAUAUCUAUGGCCAUCGUGGGUUUUGGAUGUGAUCAAAAUUGAUGAUGGAAUUAUAAUAUGAACCGAAGUAUGUUCUUUCGUGAAAGUGUGGAGACUAAAAUGUUUUCUUUUGGAACUUGACCACAAUGAAUCUGAAAACUCAGAGACCAAAAUAGGAUUUCCUUGCCCAAUAUCUCAAGAUCUUACCAAAAUAGAAGUUACAAAUACUUUUGUCAUGUAAUGAGUUGACACACCUGAUUAUCAGAGGCCAUAUUAGCUGGCGUCUCUGUUGUGCUUCCUCCCAAAAUCCCGCCCACCAGGCGUCCAGGAAGGCCCAAAACUCCACGUACAACACCUUUGCUUGGGCCUUGUUUAGCAGCUCCUAUCCUCAGCUUCUCAUCUUCAGAGAAUCCAAGCAUACGGACCAUAAGAUCCAAAACCUGCAUGAGCAAUGCACAAGAACCAAGUGGAUGAAAAGUUUUAAGAGGGGAAAAAGAGCAGUUAUGAUUUUGAUUCUAGUCAAACCAUUAUCUAUUCAAAUAUCAUCCCAACCAACCAAGUUGCCUAGUCUAAAAUAACAUGUUUGUAUAUUGUCCACAUAUCUGCAGACAUUGUCAAUGCAGGGGACAUAACACGAAGCUUACAUAUGGAUAUGUUGAUUAAAAAUAAAUAAAAAUACCUCUUUACUGUGGUUUCUCUGGAAGUACGUCACCAGUAAUUUGAUCACAAUACGCCUGCCAAAACCUCCCAAUGAUCAUCAGUAUUACAACUCCACAUGGUCGAAUUGCACAGAAACAACACAAUUGAAUUACGUACUUCAAAAGAGUAGAUACAAUGGGAUAGCCAGAGUUUCAAUUUGAAGAGACAAUAAUGGCUAGUCAAUCUAACAAUGGUUGGUAGCUUAUCUUUGUGGAACUUAACAACAGAUCUCUCAUCUGCAAUUUGAAAAGGCAAGUACCAUAUGGAUACCUCGUCUUUCACAGUCCUAAUGCAUCUGAUAUAUUAGUACCUAGAUGAUAUGUCUUGAAACCAUCUUGGUGUUCUCUUUCCAAAGGAAUGUAUCAUUAACUAACAGUGUUCCUUUAGCUAGCCAAUAUGUCUCUUUGACACAAAUUUCAGCGACAAAGUUUCAGCUGUGAUUCACUCCUAAUUGUUUCAGUCCUAAUGCAUCUGAUAUAUUUUGUGGACUACAGCUAUCUGUUCUUUUUAAAAUAAAACACAACUUGUCAUUGAAUUAAUGAAAAGAAAGUAAUGCUCAAAUCACAAAGGACUACAGCUAUCCUGUUAAACCUUUGGAGCAUUGAAGCUAAAAAGAUGCAACAAAAUUUUCAACAAGGCUAACGUUUGAAACAGGGAUGCAUAGGUAUAUUGGAACAAUUGUUAAGGCUAAAUUAACUUUUCACACAUCACACGUCAAUGAAAAGUUACGUCUUUUUUUUUUCAGAAAAACCAAAAACAGAAGCAAAAGGUAUCCAGAAGUAGAUUUUUCGAGUGCAAUGCCAGUGGGUGAGGGAAAUGAGCAGGGGUGUAAAUUCCCAACAACAAAUAUUUACGAGGAUUUACCUGUCAACAAGAAAAUCUGAAUCCACUGACAUCCUAUUCAGCCUUGUCAUACUCUGAUCAAGAGCACGGCGCAGCUUUGAAUUAUCUUCUUCAAGUUUAUUAACUCUGCUUUUCCAUUCUCCCAAUGCUCUUUCAGAAAUUGAAAGCUUUGACAAAAUUUCUUCCUUCUCCUUCUUUAACGCAUCUUCUCUUUGGUUAGCAUCCUGAGCAAUGAAACAUAGCAUUAAGCAAAAAUGAGAAAAAUGAACAAAGGAGAAAAGUGACAAGCGUUGGCAAAUUUAACUGUUCACAUAUCAUCCAAUCUCGUCGGUAACCUAUGAAAUCAAUGUGACUCCUUAAUUAAAAAAAGUAAGCUCGUAAAAAUCAGAUGUGAGAUGAUAAUUCUGAAAGUCUAGACACUCAAAAGAGUACGAAAAUGAUAGAAAAUCAGAUGUGAGAUGAUAAUUCUGAAAGUCCAGACACUCAAAAGAGUAUGAAAAUGAUAGGUCGAAGACAAGUGAGAACUAACAAAUUUCUAAAACUAUCUAUUAUAGACUUGCUAUAUAUUAACAUUUAAUUAGUUUGUAUUAAUAUUAAAAAUAAAAUUUAAAAAAUUCUGGCAAGGGAUCCAAUCCCCUAUUCGAGAAUAUUCUCUAAAACAUGAAAUGGACUGGAAUAAAGUUCUAUUCUACAGAGAAGAAGAUUGUCCUUAUAAUAUUCACAUAAACAGAAAUACAAAGACAAGCCUCACUUAGAAAACUAGGAGCUAAGGCAUGUUAUUGAUAAAAGCAUGUACAGUUGUCAUAGUCAGAAACAGCAUACUUUUAGCAUUUGAGAUAAUUUAGCUUCUUCUUCCCUUUCCCGAGCCAAAACACUCUCCAAGUGUUCCUAAAGUUCAAAGUAAGAAUAAGAUUGCAGCACAAUCAAAUAAUGGCACAGUUAGAUAACCAUUGCAUAUUGCUAUAAAUUGUAGCAAAUUUAAUUUAAAUUUCAUUUUUCUUUACCUUGGCUUCUAUUUCUGCAUAGUACUGGCCGAGUGCAGUUUGAAGGUUCAAUAGUUCGAUGUUCUUGGAAUCUAUAAUACUCAUACAGUUUGCAAGUUUUCUGUGAAGAUCUUCAAUAAUUUCUUUAGAUUUCUGAAGUUCAUUGUUACCAUACAUCUCAGCCUCCUUCUGCAUCGCAAUUGCCUGAUUCAAUGCUUUCUCUAAAUGCAUUAUCUGACCCCUCUGGUAUUCAUUAUUAUGACGAAGUUCUUCAAUUAUUCUGCUAUCUUCAUCCAUCUUUUCUGAUUCCUCAGAUUCCUUGACAGAAUUCCAGAAAUAAAAAACCACUCAGCCACAGUAGGUUCUAAAAUAAACACUAGCACACAGAAGAUCCAAAGGUUUGCAAGAACCCUUCAAAAAUAAUAUAGGUAGAAACAAUGAUAAUUAAUCUACAAACAGCUAGUCUGAAUCAAUAUAAUCACUAAGUACAAUCAAGUUCUCCAUUAAGGAACCUAUAAGCAUUGAUAUUUGAACACAGGCAUCUAGUUCCUCCAAGAAGAUUGAAUCACUGAAGAGAUUUCAGUACUCCAUUCAAAAAAAGGAAAAUGUAGGGAGAUACUUUGUGGUUCUAUGCACUGUCCUUAACUUAUCCCACUUCUUGAAUGAACAGGAUAAGAUUAUAACGCAUUUAGGCAUUUAGGAGUCCAAAUUCAUAACCAUAUCACAGUUCAAUUAGUUCAAAUGACAUAAACUUAAAUAUUGUCACCCACAAGAAGAGUUAAGACAGGAAACCUUUUCCAACAAAUGCUGCUUGAGACGUGAUAGUUCAUGCGCAGCCUUGUCUCUCUCUUGCUGCAUUUCCUUCAAAUCUUUCUUCAAUUUUUGCAAUGAUAGGUCCCUAUCUUCUUUUCCGAGGGAAAUUCCAGAUGGACCCAAUUUCUACUUAAAGAAAAAGUAAAAGAACACAAUAAGAAGCCACCCUGAAAAUUUUGACCAAAAAAAAAAUCAACCUGAACUACAUUAACGUAUUUAACCAGUAUAUGCAGGCAAUUUUAACAAAUGCAAAGGAUACAAGCAGACACAUUGGCAGUGAUUUCAUGAGAAAUCAAACAAUCUGAACAAAUGGUAAACAGAACAAACACCCUUCCAGAUUAUGUGAAUCAGAAUUACCUCACUAGAAUCACUUAGAUGCCUAUUCACCAUUUCCAAUGAUUUUGAUGGGGUUUCGACACCUGACAACUCUUGGCUCUUUUCCAAUGUAUCUUUGAGUUCCUUUUUCUCCAUCUGUACAUGAGAAGCAUCCAAUACUAGAGAUUGAAAACACAGAAAUGUGUAUAAUUGAAAAAUACAUUUCUCACUUAUUCCAACCAAAAACUAAAAAUGAUUUAGUGACCUCCAAAGUACUUUUUUCUUUCUCCAAUGUUGUAAUUAAUCUCUUCAAUUCCUCCACAUUAUCAUCAGACUUCAUCUUCUCUCUUCUAUUCAACUCAACUUGCAAUUGCUUUACUUCUAGUUUCUUCUCAUUCAAUUCUCUAAGAAUGUCACUCAUCUCCAACGAUGCCUGCUUAAGAAAAGGUAUAAUGUUAAUAUGCAUAAAAAAACAAAGGAUACCAGAUACAGGAACAAACAAACAUCCAUAUAUAGAAGACAUAUAGAAAUAUUAAAAAAAAUGAAUUGACCUCCAGUAAGAUGACUAGAAAGUAAUCUAAUCAGUUCCACUUUAAUAAGACAGCCCUCUCCAAUUCAUCCUCUAAACCUAGAAUAGCCAGCAAGACACGUCCUGUUUGAACGGUUGAUUCGGGGUGAGUUAUGCAAAUCCUAUAUUGGUGAUGUUAGGUAUUCCUGUAGUCAAAGUGAAUGCUAGGCUCACCUAAACUCUAAUGGCAAAUUACAUCAUAAAAACACCAAGAAGAGAGCUCUCCUAGUACUUUCAUUAGUGUCUACAAAAAGAACAAAAAUGCAUAUAAAACUGUGAUUCACUUCACAGCAGUUUUUUUUUUCUCUUGCAAAUAGCCAGCAAAGGAUAACAGGGACGUUCUAUGAGUUGGUUGCAGAGAGAACAGGGAAGUGACAUUAUGAGUGUUACAAGAUUCUUUUCAGAGUGGAACCAUCAACGCCCACAUUAAUGAGACUUAUGUUUGCCUUAUUCCUAAGAAAGUGGUUACCUCCAUGGUAGCCGACUUUCCGCUUAUUAGCCGCACCAGUUGUCUUCACAAGAUUGUGGCCUGUGUUCUCUCAAGCCACCCUCUCCACAAUGAUCCAACAUACCUCUCUUUUCAAUUUACCGAGUCAAGUGGCUCAAAAGGUGGAAAGGCUACAUGAAUUUUAUUUGGGGAGAAAGGUCAAAUGUUCAAGCAUACACCUAAAAAUUCUUUUUGGGCCGAAUUAAUUUAUUUGCUUUAGAUGAUUUCCCUAACUAGAAGGGUUCUAAUAACAGGCUCUUCACUGUAAAAUCUUUUUUGCAGGAUACGAUAAUCUUCAUUGACCUUAUACACUUCUCUUUUGACUGAAACUAUUUGAAAAAGAGGCUACCCAUAUCGGGUCUUAAUUUAUUCAGACCUCUUACAGAAAUGCAUGCUCUACACGGUCAUCUCCCCCAAUUGGUGCUCCUUGUGUAAGACUGGGCUGCAAAUUAAUCUCAAAGCCACAUCUUUCUUCAUUACCCCUUCACUCGGGUUUUUUGAGACGAGAAGGUAAUACAGUUCGUCAGCAGUUUUUCUAUCAUCUCCUUGUGGAGCUCACUUUCAGAAACAAACAAAAGUUUUGCUUUGGAUGAGCCUCUUUAGGCCCUAAAUUGCGAAAGAAUGGUUCUUCAACAACAAAAAAUAAGCUUUUGAUAAGUUCUUUCAUCUUGUUACUUACUGUGUUGUAUCUUGGUGCAAAUUGUCUAAUCUCAUCUCUUCUUGUAGCUCUGCUUCUCUUUAAAAUAAAUCAGGGGAGUGUUUCGUAAUCAUCAAGGAUUUUCCAUUCCUUUUUAAAAUUUCAUUCUUAUUAACAAAAAUAACAAUAAUUUAUCGAUAAAAAAGAGAGUGCCAUGAUUAGUAGUUCUCUUUGAUAUGUGGAUGCAUGGGACUUUUGGAUCCUUACAAAAGAGGAAAAAAUAAUUUACACAGGAGAGACUGAGUUAACUUCAAAACAAUUCACAGAAUACGUGAAACUAAAAGAGAAGCGAAGAACAAGUUGUGCACAAGGUAUACUUCAGUUUGAAAUUUCAACUCCAAGUAAUAACUCAUACUAAUAUUUAAAUUUCAAACUUACUUUGUCCUUGUUCAUCCGUAGAGAAUUCAACUCCUCCUGGAACUUUUUGUUCAAUUUCUGCUCCUCUGUAAUAGAGGGAGAUAAAAUCCGAUCAGGUAUCUAUUAUCAGUAGCAAGUCAAUGAAGGUGGAAGAACUUGAAAAUUUCAAUAAACAGGAAAAUAUAAAAAAUAGUAAUGAUAAAAUUUUAAAUUUUAAGGAGAAAAUGUAACCUCGUAAUCUUAAUUGCACAUCUGCCAACUGUUCCCGUUCUUGUUGAAGUUCCUUCCUUAAUUGUUUGUACUCAAGAGUAGCUUGCACAUCUUGCAGUGAUCCCAUAUUCCCUUCUUGCAAAUCUGCAAGCUCCUAGAAGGCAUUCAUAGAUCUGUUUGUCAAGUUCAUUCAUCAUUAACAAAUAAAACUAAGUACUCAAUUCAAACAAGUGAUAGGUUUUCUUAAUAGAAGAACAUUAUGAAUAUGUUAUUGUGAUAAUAAACAGGCAUUAGCAAAAUAAGAAAUAUUAAUAACUAUUAAGCCAGAGAUUGAAUGUGGUAUCGAUAAAAAUAUGUUAUUGACAUUACCAGGAGAAAAAUUACACAGGUGCUCAAGGUUCGAGAAGAUUAAUCUUUUUCCAAUACGAAUCCCAAUGGCCAAUAUAUAUGCCUACCUCAAAUUCCUCAAACCCACUCACUUUAUUAUAGUUAGCGAAUCCCCCAACAAAUAACCUAACGUCUAGGAUGCUCCUAUAUCAUUAGGGUAUUCUGAUUGAACAAUCAAAACCAUAUAGCUCGCCCCUUUCUUGACCGAAGCCCAGCCACUGUUUUUUCCUUUUUUUGGAAGAACCAGCCACCAUUAAUUUGAGAUUAUUGUAUAACAAUAAAAAAUCCAAAAAAUACUUGAACAUAAGAUUCUUAAUUAUUUAAUUUUGCCUGCAUAAAUUGGGAAAAAUGUAUCUCCAUAACAGGGAGUAAAGAGUUCCAUUACAGCAUCCUUUACCUGUGAAGUUGAAUGUUCUGGUACCAUCUUACUCAGGUAAUCAAGUUUUCCAGAGUGCGAAGCUCCAUUAGCAAUUCCAUCCUGCUUAGACACCAUACCAUUACGCCGGGUCUUCCCCCUAAGCAGUCGGCUAGGUGAUUGAUCGCUUCCCUACAAAAUUAUCGAAAUACAAAUAACACAAAAGGCAAAGAUAAAUCAAGAAAAUUAUAAUAACAAGAUAUGUGGCCAUGACAUCAUGAUAAUCUUUUUAAAAAUAAAAACUAAAGAAUAAUAUUAAUAAACUAUAUACAAUAGCCAAAAAUAAUAACUCCUGAACCAAACUACUCCACCACUUCUCAGCGAAAAGGCUUCUUCCAAAUUUUAGGCCCCAAUCCCCUUAAGCAACAGACUUCCAUUAGAUAUAACUGUAGAUAUGAAAUCUUGGAAUUAGCCACUUUGUAUAUUCUAAAAAACACCCGAUUAAAGAGGUGCACAUCAUGAGCCAAGGAUAUUUCUAGAAGAGAAUUUCUCCCUUACUAACCACUGAGGUGUAAGCUAAGAGGAUAAAAGGAAAUAAUUCUUCCAGAAUCAAACUUUAAAAUCUUUACUUUGAAUCAAUUGUCAAAUGCAUGGGAGAGCCCUUUAUUUAAAGGAAAGUAAUACAAAGGGUAGUAAAAAUGGAAUUAACCUAGAUUAACCACAAAUCCUCCCCACACAUCAAAUUGGUUUGUACCAUUUGUCCACCUCGGAGCAACACUUAGGCCUUAGCAAUAUUCAGCCAUGGCCUGUCCAAUUUAGAGAACCAUUUCUGGGUGAGGAUCCCUUCUUCCUUGGCUGCUUGGUAUUUACUGCUAUUACCAUACUAUUAACAUUCUUCUCAUUCAUAAAAUGGCCCACAUGGCUAAGGGCGAUGAAUGUUUGCAGAGAGGCCCCUAGUUCCAACUCCACCGGCAAAAAGGUGGUGUUCCACUUGAUUGUGUUAGUGGCUCCCUCGCUACCUCGUGAAAAUAAAGUCUCUGCAUUUUCUCCAGCUUCUUGAUAGUCUCUGACGAACAUUUGAAGAUGAAUAUACAGUAAAGUGUGAUUUUUUAAAGAACUCAAUUUGCUUGAGUCAACUUUUCACCUCUUGAGAAGCAUAAGCUCUUCCCACUCCAGAUCACUGACUCUCCCCGCCCAACAGCAUUGCCAGAUAAGACUUAAGAGAGAGACCAAGAUCCAACCUCACAACCCCACAUUGCAGGAAUGACCUUCACCUCCCCAACAUUCGCAUUAAGACCACACAAGAUAGGUAGAUUGAUCCUGAGAGCAACCAGGGCUUCGAACCGUGUGUCUCCUGUCAAAGGACCUGAGAGUUUGAGUUGGUUUGGCUUAACAUAUAGAACCCAUGUUUGCUACUGGGCUGUUAAGCCUCAAGUUUGUUGGGCAUACCUAGAGGUUUGAACACUACCCAAACGUUCUUUUCAAAGAGAAACAGAUUUCAUUGCAAUAAUGAAAUAUAUAAAAUGCUAGUGGAAGCUAACAAAACCCUUCCAAUUAGUAUAAAUCUUACAAAUGAAAUAAUUCAAAAAGACUUGCCAAGCUUACACCGAGUGGCUGUUGUAUAUUAUCCAAAGAAAAUACUGCCUAAAAUUACCACCACCCCAAACCCACUCCCUCCUUCCAAAAGAUAUCCCAAACCAAAACUUCUGAAACCUGCCCUUCAAGCUAUAACUCUGCAUAACGACUACAGAAACAUGAGCCUGCGACAAACCUAUGUACAAGACGCAUCCUCAAAUAUCAUUUAACAUCAUUCAAUGCAGAAUGAGAUACUUAGGCCAAAGCAGGGAUUGGAAUAGCAUUGUAACGUAAUUGACAAAAAUGUGAUAAUUCUGACACACAUAAGACAACCAAAUCAAACGCCAAUCCUACUACAUGUGGUGAUCUAUAAAGCUCACAACUUUCUUUCACAAGAGUCAAGCUCAUGAUUUUCCAUCUGCAUUCCAAAAAUUACCUUCAUUUCACUAGUUCCAUUUGCUGGUGAUUUGGAACUUUCAGAUUUAGGUGAAUUUGUAGCAUCCAAGCUUUGUUUUAGCGAGCCGUUUUCCUUGUUCAAUCGUAAGAUUAGCUCCUGCCAAAUGAAUAUGAAACGGGAAAUAACAAUAAAGGCUUGUUUAGUACGCAGAUUUGUUUUCUAAAACUAUUCCUUGAAAUUGUGAUCCAAAUUGUAGAAAUUUUGGAAACAACAUUUUUUAAGUUUUUAGUGUAUCCAAAUUUUGAAUUUGAAAUUUCAAAAUACAAAAUAACAUUAAAAAGAAUAAACAGCAUUGAUUAUUAUGAAGAUUUGUUUUGAAAGUACAGAAACUUAAAUGGAAUAAGUCCUUAGCAUAGGGACCAAAAAACUUGAUUUUCAUUAUGGAAAAAUGAAAUAGUGCACAAGCAUACAAAAAAAACCCAAAACGGAGCCAAACUACAAAAUAUGGGCACCAACUAAGAGAAACAAGACCUAUAAAAUACCAUUUAUAAAUAACAAAAAAUAUGCUUAUAAUUUUUUAGAACUCAAGGACACAGCUAUCAAAUCUAUGGAACAGAUCCCGUUAAAGUAAGGUCAUUAUUCAUAAAUUAAUAAUCAUUACUAAUAUUUGAGAUUGAACCCAGUAUUUAGUUGAUAACUACAACAAUAUUUAUGAUUUACAAAUAUGUUAUCACACAUUUAACCAAGAAAACCAUCAGAAGCAUUACUACAUACAAAUUACAUUUAAUCAUUGGAUAUGAGUCAACUAAAUUACAAAUUACAUUUAAUUACUCAUUUUAUAGAAAUGGAACUAUGAAUCAAAAGGGAAAACUCUAAGGAGCAACUAGAAUACCUCUUUUUCCUUUAGCAAAGCUGCAUAAUUCAUUGAUAAUGAUUUAAUAUUCCUCUCAGAUUCCUGAAGCCUCUUAAUUUCUGCUUUGUAUUGUUCAAUCUACGAGAAGCACAGUAAUUAAAAAUGCCAUACAUAAAUUAAAGUUAACCAGUUCAAAGGAAACUUAAAGAAAAUAAAACAUAAAAAUAUAGGCCAGUCAAAUUAUUAAACCACCAAUUCACCCAAAAGCUUAAGUUGGUGGUUGAAGGCAAAUUUAAUUAUAUAUCACCAAUACAAAUAAUGACACACAGAGGCACAGUAUAUGAACCUGGAUAAAUGCUAUGAGUUUCAAACCAACGAAAAUGGCGUAGUUAGAAGGUGCAUGACCAGCUAGAGGAAGACAAUUCACAGUCCCUAAUGUAUAAGAGACAAAAUUUCUGGCCUUAGACACAAAGGAACAGUGAAGAAACAAAUGGUCGAUAUGUUCAAUCUCUCUCAAACAGAAUUUAUAGCCAAAUGGACACAUAGUACAAGAUCUAAACUUUAUUUGGAGCAUUUCAUCAGUGAAAUAUCUCUCAAAUAAGUCUCUCCCAUUCCCCACAACAUUAUAAAUAAAUAGGAAAUAAACUGAAAUUCAGUGAAUAUCUUUUCAAGGUUUUCUAUAAGUGCCUUUAACCUUAUCAACAGUCUAUUCAAAGGGCAAGGACCAUGCUUGUUAACAAUAUCCUUAAUUCACAAUGUGUCCACUUCACGAUAGAACCACCAAAGACAUUUAGCCUCUCACACUUACAUUAUCUGUGCAAUGCCUAACCACUCUCCAAGUCCAACGGCCUAGAAAACACCUCCUAUCCCACGAGAUGGGAGCCAUAAAAAUCUCUCAUAAACUUAUCAAGAAGCUUGCUAACCAAGGUAUUCUCUGCCUAAUUUAGUUUAGAUCAUUAUAUCAAUAAAAGGUAUUGUUUUAGUUUCUAUAGUAUCGUAUUUUGAGCAUUGUACUUUUUUUAUUAUAUCAAUGAAAGGUCUUGUUCCUUUUCAAAAAGAAGCUUAUUAACCAAGGUAGGGAUUCUAAAUGGGGAUAUAAAGCAGGUUGGAAUGCCAUUCAGAAUAGAUUGAAGAUGAGUAAAAGUAACAUGCUAGGCUUACUGGCUGGCUUCCGUUUUGGUCUUUUCGUUGCAUUCAAGGUAUUAGUCUCUCAAGUUGGCUUUUUGUUUUGGUCUUUUUGGUGUAGUCAUGUUUAAAUUGCUACUUUCUAGAAUAAAUUUUUUAAGAAGUGUUGGUAUAACUUAUAAGUAUAGCUAAUAUUAAGAAAUUUUUUUAAUAGGAAAAUAUAUACAUGUAGGAACAUAUAUAUAUAGGACGACUUGUUCAAAACAAUUGAGGUUGUUUUUCUUCCAAAAUUUAUAAUUCCAAGUAUAGUAUAAUAAGUCACCUGAAACUGUCCUUGAAAAAAAAAAUUCAAAGCUAUAACCAAAAAGUUGUAUUUUAGAAUUAGCUACACCAGUAGCCCCUAGAAUUAAGUUUGAUUAGAAGAGUGUCACUAAUUAUCCUUGAGAAGAAAAGUUUGUGAAGUAACAAAUAUAGACAUAUAUAUAUAUACAUGUAUGGAGCCCCAUGACCAACCAAGUAAGCAACAGUGGCAUGAAGCACUAGAUCAUCCAAAACCACUAGGUAUUCCCAAACCAACCACUUACUAUUUUCCUUACUUGAAAUUAGAACCAGACUAUAUGUUCUAUUAACAUCAUAAUGCAAUGCACUUAAUUUAUUAAACCUUAGACCUUAACUAGCUGUUCAAACCCAAUCAAUACGCCAGUAGACAGAAAUUAGCUCAAAAUAGUGUUCUCGAUUUGUAACCAAACACUCCCCUCCCUGAACCCAAACCUCUACUUUGCCCACCCAUAUGCCAAAACUGAAACUUAAUUAACUUAUAAUCUCAUUGCAAUUUCAAGAUAUAACUAAACGAAACCAAUUCCCAAUAACAUGGUCAUAAACCCCUAAAACCAAAAUGCAUCAUCUCCCCAAAAUUCAGCUACAAGGAGAAAACCAAGUCCAUAAAAAAACAUGCACCUCAGGGUGACGGGCAUCUUCAAUAAUCCCAUUGGCAACCGGAGACCGUGUUACAGAAUUCGAAUGAGCAAAGCUAUGCGAGUUCCUCCGAUCAGAGACCGAAACGUCAGCAUCACCUCUAUUAGAGCCAUAGAUCGCAAAUUCCUCGUCUUCGUCAUCGUUGUGCACAUCGAGAGCUAUCUUAUUAAGAUUUUCUUUCAAAUUAGCUAUGGAGCUCCACAUCAUUGAGACACCAGAACCCCCAGGGAGUCGAAAUGGCUCCUAAAAAUCCGGUGUAGUGCCAAGAACAAUGGAAAUAGAAGGAUUUUGCACCGAAUUUUUGCAAGAACUGUAGAAUAAAUCAGAUGGAGAAACGGAAGGAAGUGAGUUUCGCAGAUCUGAGUCUAUGAGUUGGUGAUGGCGAAGACGAAAUGUAAAUUUGGUUCAAGAAAUGGAGAAAAUUAAUUCGAGAGAGAAACGAAGAAGAAAGGAUUUUGGUUUUUUGUUUUGUGCGUUAUGAAAUGUUUAGACUUUGUGAACAGUUCGUCGUCAUGCGCGGCAUUCUGUCGGUUUGGAUCAGUCGACAUGUCGUAUUUGAAUAAUAAAGAAUAGAAGUAAAUAAUAUAGAUUCUAAGGUAAGGGUUAUAGGAUUUGUUUUUAUUACUAAGGUAUAGGUUGAAAUUUUGCACUUCUUACCUAAAGUAAUAAUGACAAUUAAGAAAUACCAACACCAAUCAUCCAAUCAUAGUUGAGUGCAUAAGUUAUUAGUAUGUUUAGUUCAAUCAUAAUUUGCACUAGUUUUUCCUUUAAAAUUUCAAGAUUCAAUUUUUCACUUGUUAGUUUUACUAAAUAUAUAUAUGGUACUAAAAACGGAUCAUUUGUUGUUAGGUUACUAACAACACUCAUCGACUAUCGGCUAGUAGUUCAUAAGUUAAAAUUUACAAAAUUAGUCACUAUGGUUUCACUUUUUUUCGUUGGUUCCCAUAGUUGGAGUUCAAUUUUUAGUUUUGUUUGUUUGGUUUUGUAGUUUCUAAUUGAGUCCUUAUAAUUAUAGAAAUUUUGAUAAUUUAGAUUGUAUAGUUUAGUUAAACCUCACAAAAUAUGAUCUCUAAGAGGGCGUUUAUAGUGCUAAGUUGGUUAAAUAUAGACAGUGGAUUAUAAGAGAUGGUGUUUGGAUACAUUACUGUUUUAAUCUAGGUUAAACUACCACCGUGAUGUAAAUUAUUUUUGUCUUUUAAAAACUAACAAACAAUAUAGAAAUGAAAAAGAAAAAAGAUGAGUGAAAAUAAUAAAUACGGUAGUAAAUAACAUUUGAAAUAGUAUAGAUUAUAUAAUAACCCGCAACAAUAGUAUAGAUUAUACAAUAACCCACAACACCAACUUCUAGUUGGUGCCUCAAAUAUAUGAUCUCUAUUAUGUAUUAUACAUCGACAAAACUUUGGAUUUCCUUCCAUAUCUCAUUAAAUAUACAUAUGUUAUUAGGUGGAGGUUUAGAAGCUUGCUACCCUUUUCGCAAUCACACUAUUCAAAAUGACCUCAAUUUUCAACAAAUUAAUUUCUCCAUCUGUGGGUAAAUUUGCAGUCACUCAAAAGCAUUAAGACCUUCACGGUCAAAAACAAUCCAAUAGAGCCUUCCCCACCCUCGUCGUCCGAUCAUACCCUAUGAAAAUUGAGUUUCCAACAAUGAUGACCGAACGAACCGAAGGGGAAAGGGAGAGAUGAGGAAGCCUGAAAAAGAGAACCAACUAAGCACACCAACAACAUUCAGCCCACCCAACACAAUCGACAUUAAUAGGAGGUGUUUCAAUAUGGAUAGCCAAUUUGUUGAAGUAAAUCUCAUACGGAAGCUCCACAAGCAAGCACCACCGCAGAAUAGUUAGCAUACAAUCAAUCACGUUCCUUCCCCACAAACCUCUCCAUAAAUCCAUUAGAUAAUACAAAAGAAGGUUUUGCAUCAAAAAAUUUAUACAAAACACUACUUUAGGUUUUAAACCAUUGUGUCACAUUUCACAAUCAUUCCAUCUUUGUUUGUUUUUUUAAUUUAUAAGUUUUUUUUCAACUAACAAAUUAAAAAACCAAAGUCAAGCUUUUUUUAAAAAAAAAAAUUAAAUAUAUAUCUCAUUUUGUCUUUAUAACUAUUUGGUUUUUUCAUUUUUCAUUUUAGAAAAAAAUCAUCAACAUUACUCUAUUGAUUUCUUUAUUCUUACUAUCUAUUUCUUUAUUUUUGCUAUCUAAUUUAGAAAAAACAAAGUCAAAAUUUGAGUACUAAAAUCUUGUCAGUAAUCAUUCGGUAUUUUGUUUUUAAUUCCCUUUUUAUUUAGGAGAAUGAUAAAUGUAAUAGAUAGCAAAACCAAUCAGAAAAAUUAUAAAUGAAGCUAAUUUUUUUAACUUUGUGUUUAGUAAAUAUCAAAUUAAAACAAUCUUGUAAUUAGAUUAUUAAUUCUAUUUAGUAGCCGUUUUGCUUUGGAUUAUUUUAAAAAAAAUAAACUUCUAAAACUCCACUUUCAACCUCCAGAUUUCUACACAUGUUUUUUAAAAAAAACAAAGUCUAAAGCUAAAAACUAAAAGAAAUUGUUUUUGAAAACCGGUUUUGUUUUUAGUUUUUGGAUAGGAAGAAAAAUGCUUUUUAAAGAAAGUGAAAAGCAUAUAGCUGAGAAAUGGAGACAAAACAAGGGAAAAUUUCAAAAUAAAAUGGUUAGCAGACCUAAACUAAUGAUUUAAGUGAGUGUUCAUCUUACUGCCAUUUGUGUUAUAAUAAUCCAAUCAAAUUGUGUCAUAUAUGUAUAUCGUGUCGAAAAUUAGUUCAAUCAAAGUUCGCCAUGUAUGCAUGUUUUUAACACUAUGUGAAUUGUAUUUUAUUCCUUAAUUUCAUUUAUUUUUUAAAAAAAAAGAAACUAUGUAUAUGGUACAAUAAAGCAUAAUGAAUGACAUAGAAGUAUCCAAUAAGAUUAGUAUAGCAUAAAAGUUAAUGGAGUCUACACGAAUUGGUCCAAUUAGAUUACACCAUGACGCAUGUCACUAGAGAUGAAUUAAUUCAAUCAUAUAUAUCUUCAACUCAAAAGAUAACCUCUCAACUCCACGUAUCGUUGAACAAACAUAUAACGUAUAGAUUCAAUUAAACAUUAAAAGAAUAUAGGAGACAUUGAAAGGCAUGGAAACAAAUUUACCUGUAUUUAUACAAGAGAUCAAGAAGAUUUUAUUUUUCUCCUCUAAAUUGGAAUUGGAAUUAAUUUACUCAUAAAUGCAAUAAAGAUUUGUAGUAUGUAGACUCGGAAGUCUUGUUUGAUCAACUAGAGCAAUAUUCUAACAAGAUCACUUGAAUCGAACCGAACUGUGGACACAUUCAAACCGCGUGCUCUACAGAAGCCCAGAAAUGACCUAAAAAGAAGAGAAGGGGAGUGGUGAGCCACACCUUAGACAGGCUGGUAUAAGGCAGUGAGGUGGCCAUGUGUGAGGUAGGGCCAAAACUCCCAAAUGGUAAAAUAGAAACAGACCAUUUUCAACUCAAAAUCUCAACAAAGCAACCCAAUGGAGACAUAAAAGAAAAGAUUCGUAAUCACAAGACACAACUGUCCAAAUGGGGACAGUCCUCAGCUCCUUUUCACAGUAAACACACAAAUCGGAUCUUUAAAUAAAAAAAUGGCAUAUUCUCUUUUCUCCGUAUAAACAAGAAGUUCAAAAACGCCAGUGCUGUAGAUUCUAAAAACAGGGAAGUUCAAGUUCAAAGAAACCCAGAUCAUGGAUUGGAUUUUAUAUGGCAAAUUUUCAUUCAAUUCAAAAGUUCAGCAGAGAGAAUUGAAAGGCAAAUUUAUAGUAAUCAAAUAAAAGAACCAACAAGAGGAAGCUGAGUGUAAUGUUUUUUCAAGCAGUUCAAACAUAUCCUAAAAGGCCCAUAAUACGAAAAAUAACAGUAAGCCCAUAAAAAAUAAGCAAACAAAAGGGAGGAAAAAAAAAUCAAAAAAGAAGAACCUGCUGCCGUUCUUGAGAAAUCUAGAUAAGAACUAUGAAGAAUCUGACCUCAUCUUCAACUUCAUCUUCAUCCAUGAGUGUUCACAGCUUCCCAGAGCAAGUUCUUAGGAACAGGAUUGGUCAAAUCUCUAGCUUGCAAAGCAGCUGUUCUAAGAGUUCUAAUGGUGCGGACAUUAGCAUCCCAAAAUGACAAGCUUCUGUAUGGAAGAUUGUGUUUCUUGCAAAGUUCGACCACAAUUGGAGAGAUUUUCCUCAACUGGCAUCUGGGCAUCCUUGGGAAUAAAUGAUGUUCUAGCUGAAAUUGCAAUCCACCAAAAAACCAAUCCAUCCAAGUAGAACAAGAGAUAUCCAAAGUCCCACUUGCUUGCUUCUCAAACCAAUCAUUCCCAGUGGGCUUCCCAACAUAAACAUUAGCAGAGAAAUGGUUGAGGCAGAAUUGGAUGUGCUGUAGAGAACAUACAGCAAAACUUGCAAGAACAAACAUGACUCUCUCAGGCCAAUUAGGGAGAUAAGAAACUAGAAGAGGAAACCAUGUCCAAAAGACAAGAAUCCCCAUUAUGUUCAAUGCUCUAUCAGGAACUUUUCUAGUGGAAAACAAGAGCAACAACGUCUGCACAAAGAGAUUCACUCUAGCCACACACAUCACAGGGUAAAAUGUGAAAUGCUGGUAGCUAACAAAGAAUCUAGCCAAGGAAUCAAACUCCAGCUUCCUACCAUAGAAAUGAGAUGUCAAAGUCCGGAAGAAACUAGUAGAAACAGCAAAAACAGGGAUGUGUUGAAGAUCUGGAUCGUGGUCAAGGCUAUUGCAGGAGAUGUGAUGAGCAUUAUGAGUCCAUUUCCACCAGGCUAUACUAAUCCCCGUCAAACAAUUUCCAGACAAAAUUUGAGCCAAUUUGUUAAAUCCACGACUCGACAUUACAUUAGAAUGUCCAGAAUCAUGACCCACAUAAGCACUUUGGAUCCAAAGCAUACCCAAAAUCAUAGCACAACCCAAAUGAACCAAAACGCUCUCCGAUUUCAAGACCCCAUAAACCACAAGAAACAUCAUCACAGCAACAGAAAUCAAAGAAUACAUAGUAACAUGCCCCUUCUUCUCAAACAAACCUUGUUUGGAAAAUUCAGACGCAAGCUUUCUGUAAUCCUUAGAAAUCUCCGAGACCUGAAAAUCCUUGAGAUGAAAUCCAGUAAACAACCGAUCCAAAUACGCCCAAGCGGUGCCAGGAUGAUAAGCAAUGAAUGCAUCGGUCACAUCAUGACCCGCUAAAUUGAUAAAAGGCGUAUCACCACCAGGAUGUUCUUUAGCCCAUUCUGUGACAUUAUAGACCUUACCCUGAAUAGAGAUCCAUAGAUCUCCUGGUUUGUUGUGCUUGAGAAGCUCCUCAGAGGUAAUGUACUUCUUCUCCACCUCCAUAUCCAAACCAGACCUUCAAAGUUUGGUAAAAGGAGAUCAAACAAAGAAAACAGGAGAAACCCAGAUGAGAAUAAAAGCAAUUUUUGGAAGGUUUCUUCGUUUUUUUUUUUUUUUUUUUCUUAUCGUGGAGUUGCUUUGGAUGGAAAAAUGCAACCCACUAUUCGGAGAAGAGAGGGGGGGAAGUUGGGUUCGAUUGAUUCAGAAUCUAGAAUAGUGUGAACCCCUCUUUCUGAAUUGCAUGUUGCAUUUAGGAGACUUUAAUAUAGAAAAGAAGAAAGGGAUUCGAAUGAAUGAACAGAGAAGAAUGAGAGGUCGUGAUUGUUAACAGCGAAGUACACGGUACAAAAACCAACCUGGGCUUUAGGCUUUAGGUGCCGUUUCCCCCGCAUCUCAAAUUGGCUUCCCUCCUUUUAACCUCACCCGCGGCUCACUCAAAUAUAUCCCCUCUUCUCUUCUUUUUUCCUUUUUCCAAAAUUACAAAUGAUGUUUAAAUUUUCACUUUUGUCCCUCUUUUUUUAAUACACUUUCUUUUUUAAAAUCAAAUUAAUCUUUUAACAAAUAUACUCCUUUUAUACCCAACUUAAACCCUAAACCAAUCAUUUCAUUAAUUAAAAUUACUAACUUUCCUUAAACAUUCUAUUAUACCAACUAAAUUCUCAAACUUUCAUAAAUUAAUUAAUUCAAUUUUAAAUUGGCAUUUCCCAUUUGGCAAAGUCUACCGAAAAAAUUAGUUUUAGUAUUAUCGGUUGUAAAUAGUUUGUUCUUUUUUUUUCUUAAUAUUAGAAAAAAUAUUACAUAAUAUUUUAAACUUGAUCUCUCCCCUCUAAGUUUUUGUUUAAUUGAAUACUUCUUUUGUGAGUUGAACCGGUGGUGGGGUUUUGAUUUUCUCAUUUUCUAUUAGCAAUGGAUUUAACAAUUCAUAAAAUGAAUGUGCAUUUUAUGCACCCAAUGUGAAUAAAUAAUAAUAAAGAUAAACCAUUUAGUUGGUAUUUACAUUUACUAAAUGACUUAAAUAAUGGGUUUUUUAAAUAAAUUCUUUUAUCAAACAUAUCUAUAGUUACUCAAAAUUCAUUAUACAUUGAUGUUAUCUGUGGUCUAAUUGCAAUCUUUUUAUGAUAUUUUGAUGCUUAGCUAAAAAAUAAGAAAGAAAGAAAGAGCUGAACACAAUGUUUAGAUUUGUUAACUGUAAUUAUUUACUUCUUAUACACUUAAAUCCCCAUUCGAGGUUGUGAAGAUAGUUCUUUUAUUAAUACUAUCUCAUUUUUAUACGAAAAAUUUUCUUUAUCACUCUAAUAUGCAUUGAAUUAUAUGAGAAAAAAAAAUUCAAAACUAUUUCCAUUUAUCAUCAUCACAUGCUUAUUAGAUAUCAUACUAGUUUUAGAUAAAUUUUCUUAAGAAAAAACCUAAGUAAAAUAAUUUAUAUUUUAUUAAUCUAUUUAUAAUUUGAAUAUAAUCCAAUUAACAUAAAAAUUGCUCUAUCAAUUAUUUCAUUUGAGAUCACAACAUUGGCGGUAUUAUUGUAGGGUAAAAAUGGAGGAGGAGGAGGAGGGAAAAGGGAAGCUUUAUUAUUGGAUGGGACGCACAAUUAUUAAAUUAAAGGGGAAAAAAGGGAUAUACGGAGUUUAAACGGAAAGAGCGAUUAAAAAAAACAAAAAAUAUAAACAAUAAAAGAGUCGGUUAAAGAAAUAUAAAGAAAAAGAAUGAAUUUUCCGUAACGUGUAGCGUCAUGCGUAGUGAGUGAAUGACGGGUGGAAAAACGACCCCGUCAAGGUAAAAUCGUGUGGACAUGGAUUAAAAGAAUGGACGGGUGAGAUGCGAGGGAAAAGAAUAUUACUGUGGACGAACCACAUGUCGUUUUUUGUUUUUUUUUAAUUUUUGGGUGAAUGAUAUUUUGUUUCUUUUUUUAAAAUAUGAAUAUUUCGAGAGAUAUUUUUGGAGGAGGUGCCAGUCACUCACAGCUGUUUCUCUUUCUUUUUUUAAUUUCUUCUAUUUUUUAAGACACUUAUUUAUUUUAUUUGUAUAAAAUUAUAUAAAUUCAUCAAAUUAAAGAGGGAAAUUUUGUUUAUUUUAAGUGUUUGUAUUGUUGUGAAAUUCUAGCAAUAGUUUUAGUUUUUUUCUAUGUUUUGAAAAAUCUCUAUUUUUGUAAAUUUUGUCAAUGGGAAUUUAACCAAUUUAGAAGAAGAAAUUUACGUUUUUCCUAAUUUUCAUUACAUAUUUCUUAAGAAGUAAGAUUGUAUUUUUUCUUUCUUUUAUAGUUAGUUUGUUUUCAAGGAUGGUCUUUAAUGUCAAUAUAACUUAGUAAGUAAGUCUAUAUAUAUAAACUUAUUAAUUAAGAGAUGUGAUACAAAUUAAAAAAUUAUAAACAAAAUGAAUAAAAACGUUAUUCAACUGACAACGAUUUCAAAUUUCGUAAACAACUAUGAUUUGUCUUUUAGUAUGAAAAUUACUUUGAAAAGUUUAGUCAAUCUUUUUGACAUAAAUACUUUUGGACUAGUUUGUUUAUUAUUUUUUUCUAGAGAAAUUUUACAAUUUUUUAGUUUCUAUAACAUUUAUUUUAAGAAUUAUUUAAAAACACCAGCCAAUUUUCUAGUUUCUAUAUGUUACUGAAAUGGUUUUUUAUUUUUUAUAACACUUAAUUUGAAGAAAAUAUGUUUCUUUUAAUGCUAAACAUUUCCCGAAAAAAAUGUUCAUUUUAUUUAAAAUUAUUUUAGAGUCUUAACUAGUUUUAUUUUAUAUUAAAAUAUCAUUUUGGUUGGUACCAUUUUGGAACUUUUAUUUAUUAAUUUAUUUUGUUGAAAGCUCAAUAAAGUAAAGAGGGUGUAAAACAGUGGCACGUGUGGCAUAAUUUACGAAGUUUCAAUUGUGUUUUCUUAACUUUCAUCUAUUUGAUUUGUGUGAUGAGGAACUCUAAUCUUUUAUAUUUUUUAUGGUCUACUUUUACGUUGAAACUUUUAUGGUAUUUAAAAUCAUAUGGGAGUAAGAUUAAAAUAAUAUUAAAAUUGUGUUUGUUUUCAAUCAAGGGUCAAAUCAAUGCAAGGCAAUUAGAUUGAUUUACUACUUUUGGACUUGAUUCGAAAAGCUGCUCCUUACCAACUUAUUUUCUAGCUAGUACACAAGUAAAGAGUUCAAAACAAUUAUAAAAUUGUAGAUGAGAGGAUUGAAGUAUGAGCAAGUAUGAUUGACUAGCCUAAUCAUAACUCAAUUAGAGGUUAUGGGUUGGAAUCUCGUACAUUUUACUUAUUGUUGAAUUAAAAGAAUAGGUAUGGUCAAUACUAACACAAACAUAACUCAAUUAACAUAUGUUUGUAUUAAAAUUAAAAUUGUUGACAUCUUGAUCAAUGGUACACAUUAAUUAAAAUCAAUUCGAAAGUUAUUCACAAAACUAUUAUUAUUUUGUAUUAAUACAAUUAAACAAGGUGUUCAUACACACUGGAGACUCUAUGUAGUUCAGCUAAACUGAAGUAAAUAGAUGGAAAGAAGUGGUUUAGUGAGGUUAGGUAGGAUUUGAAAUAGAUGGGAAAAGAAAGAGAGAGAAAGGAAAAGGAUGGUCUCUCCCUAGGGGGAGAGGGAAUGGGAAGAGACAGGAGGAGGUGGUGGGACUCACGUGCCUUUUGAAAUGGGGCGAAUUGGGCUAUAAACAAAAGUAAAGGGACUGGACCACAAAAAUAAAUAAAAAAGAUGAUACCAAUAUGAUGAUGAAGUAGAACAUGGAAUACAAUGCGUUUGCCACCUCAGAUAUCCAGCUGGAUCUAUUUUGUGGCUGUUGCAUUUCCUUUUCAACUCACCCUUUAAAUUAGCCUUUUCCUUUUCUUUCAAUUCUUCAAAUAUCAACGGGUUUUUCUUUUUUUCUUUCUUUUAUUCCAAAAAUAUCUUUUCAACCUUUUCAAUUUUAAGUACUUCCAACGUUAGUAAAUUUUAUUUUAUGAUAAUAAGAUUUAUCUCAUUAUAUUUUCUAAAUUGUAAAACUAUAACUUCGAUUAUCAUUGGAUAGUCUCAUGAUUACGUAUCAUAAUCAUCUAUAUAACUAAUUUUGUUAUAUUUACAUAUGCAUAUGCAAAAAAUAAGUGUCACGAACUGAUUUUUUUAAAAUAAUUUUAUCAUUUAAUGCAAUUUAUUUUUAUAUUUUGGAUAUAGUUUUCAUUUCACUCGAAGGUUCCUAAAUAUUAUAUAUUAUUUUGGUACUACAAUUAGAAUAUGGGAUUUAAAUCAUAAACUCCGUGGUUAUUGUCCAAGAUGUUACAUUUUUAUUUGUUUAAGAUUUGAAUUUAUUUCUUAGAUUCAAAACUUUACUAGAAAAAUUGAGUUUAAUUUUAGUUUAAAUUAUGACUUUUAGAUUUAUGCUUUUAACCUCUUAAGUAAGAAUAAUUUUUGAAGUAAAAAUUAUAAAUUAAUUUUAAUUUCGAUAAAAAUACAUUGAAACUAAAUCAAUUGUCAAGUAAAAAGAAAUAUAUAUUCAAAUUGUAUUAAUAAGAACUUGUAUUAACGUUCCUCACAAAAUGGGGAUGUAGCUCAAAUGGUAGAGCGCUCGCUUUGCAUGUGAGAGGUACAGGGUUCGAUCCCCUGCAUCUCCAUUUCUUUUAUUCUUUUUUUUUUUGUAUGUUUAAAGUAGUGAUACAAGAGUAUGGUUAUUGGUUAGGCAUAAGAGAAUAAAUAAUCAUAUACAUUUUCAUAUAAAAUAUAUUCGCAUGUAUCAUAUAAUAAAAGAUUAUAAUAUAAUAAGGUUAACAUGAGGUCAACUAGGAAUUAUAAUUCUUUUAAUAACAAAUCUCAAAUUAAUUUAAUUGAAGAGAAUGUGGUUCCCACUUCCACGCCUUUUGCAAAUUUCAUUCAUUAAAGAUUGAAGCAUGCUUUUGAAUAAUCAAUCUCUAUUAGUUUAAUUCUUUAUUUUAUUUAUUUUAUGUCUUAUUACUUUGGAUUUUAAAUUGGACCAAUUUCUUGAAUUAUUUUUUAAGUGAAUUAAAUUCAACUAUAUAUAUUUGCUAAGUAAACCUUAUAAUUUUCUAAAACUAAGAGAAAAAAAAGUUUUUAGACUUUGUGUUUCUAAUAUUAAAUAUAUUUAAAAAGAGCGGAUAUUACUAUACUAUAUAAAGUCAACAAUAUUUUGAUUUUAUUGAACUUAAAAAGAAAAUAGUUUAUGAUAUAUAUAUAUAGAUAAAUAUAAUUCUAAAUGGCCUCAAAUUAAAGAUUUGAACUCUAAUUUUGGAUCGGAGAGAAUCACGAAACACUAUGAAAGUUGCAUUAACGUUAGCUUAUUAACUUUAGUUUAAUAAUAUGGACUUUAUAAAUUAUAUUGAACUGUGAAAGUAACAAUAUUGUUUCUGUAUUUGGAGAUUUGCUCAAAUGUGUUUAAUAGAUAAAUAAUUGUCAUUCUAAAUAUAUUAAUGGUUUGAUUAUAUCUUUUAUAUAUGGUUAAAUCUCUUCCAUACCAUACCAUGAUGCACCCCAUAAUUACAUAUCCAAGUAUUAUACACUCAUGAAGAGAAAAAAAUAUAUGUAGUUUCUGGAUGUUUUUCUAAAUCAAAAUUUUGAUAUACUAAACUGAAAACGGAUUAAAUUUUGAAAAGAAAAAAGAAAAAGAAAAAUAUCAAGUAUACUUUAUUUGAUAUGUUAUUAAUUUUACAUGACAGAAGUUUUUUAACAACAAAUAUUAAUAAUACUUGAUGUUACUUGAUGGAUGAACGACUUUUUCAAAACGUAGAUAUCUAAACAAGAAAUUAUAAACUAAAUUAAUGAAAAACAAAAUUUUAAUAUAGAUAAGAGGGUCUAGUUGCCCACAAUAUAUAAUAUAUAAUAUAUAUAUAAAUAUAUAUAUGACCAUGAGGAUUUGAUAUUGGUAGUAUAUUUGUAUGGUAUUAUUGUUAUAUGGUAUCAUAGAAUACAAUACAGUAGAGUUGCAUAUAAUAUAUAGAAUAUGACAUUUGAUAAUAAAGUAAAGUGUGUUAGUCAUGUAUAGGGUAUUACAUACUUUAAAUCUGGAAGUACUUAAUGCAAUAUAGCGUCGUAGUCAAAGGUUGGAUGUUGGUCCUCUAACCAUAUGUAUGAAGAAAAAAAUGGCUCUCCAACUUUUCAACACCCUAGACAUUUUAAAUGUUGAGAGUGAUGCCCAUUAUCUUCCACAACUUGUAAUUAGUAAACACACAACAAAAAUAAAUAAAAUGGAAGAUUUUUAUUUUCAUUAUUAUUAUUUUGUUUGGAAAUAAUCGUAAAAUAAUAUUAUUAUCGUUUAUCUCACAUUACACAAUUUGAAAACUCUUCUAGAGGUUCGAAAAGACGAAAAUUUAAAUAAUAAAAAGAAAUAAAGACAGAGACAAGUUCCAAAAGUCCGUACCACUUAUUCAUUAUGAAUAUAACUCCAAACAAACCUCAAUUCGUCUCUUUUGAAAUGGAACUCCAUAAACAAAGGAGGGGAAAAUAAAUCAAUUACUUCUAAAACAUUUCUCAUGAUGUAUUAGUUUUGAUUAAAUAAUUAAAUGAUAAAUUUAGGAUUGAUUAUUUACAAAAUAACGUGGAUAGUUGUAUUUGUUUAUUAUUCUAGUAGUAGUUGUUAGCUAGUUGCUAAAUCACGGAUUGAUUAUAAUAAGUGUUUUAUGCUUGUUUUGAAGUUGAAUAUAAGUGGAAAUGGAGGAUUCAAAACUUUGAUGACCAAGUCUCGAAUUCUCUUUUGAGUCUUUAUUUGUUAGUGCAUUCAAACUUUUUUGCUUUGAAAUAGAAUUUCAAUUUUUUUAAAUAAAGAAGAGAUAGAUAACGACUACUUAUAAUGUACCAUUCUAAUUUUGAACUUUGAAAUGGUGACUGCAAUGAAGAUGUCAUGAAAUUACAACUUUCUGAAUAGCUUUAAACUCUAAAAUGAAGAAAGAGAUUUGAGAAUUAGAAUCGAAAUGCACAUGACACGUUUCAAAUGUACUUUAGUUCAUUCGAGUUUUCCUUCGACAUACUUUAUGCAAAACACUAAAGUUUAUCAAAUAUCUGUCCAGUGUCUUCAAACUUCAAAUUGCAUUUGACUACCUAGAUUGAACAACAAUUUUUGGUUUCAAACGAUUUCAGGAGCUUGAUCGAGUGAUGCUUGCCACACAACUUCCAUUACUUAAGUUAGUUCGAAACUAUUUAGAAGAAGCAAGAGGUUAAAGAAUAAGAAUUCACCUGCUUUUUAUAGAGUAACAACCAUGUAUAUAUAUAUUAAACUUUUUAAAUUUUUUAUAAUAAAUUAUAAAAUAUUUUAUUUCUCAAAUUGGGGAUGUAGCUCAAAUGGUAGAGCGCUCGCUUUGCAUGCGAGAGGUACAGGGUUCGAUCCCCUGCAUCUCCAUUUUUUCAUAUACAUCAUUUUUAUUUUCAUGUUAAACUUCUUUUAUGUCUUAUGACAUAUUAUUCAUCAUAUCUUAAUAUUUACUAGUGUUGAGACUAUAUAUAUAUAUAUUAUAAUUAACUAUACAUGUACAUUCAAAUAGUCAUAUCUUAGUUUAAAUAACUUGAUAUCAAUUAUACCUAUCAACUUAAUAAAUGUUCACACUUUCUCUUAUUUCUACAUUCUAAUUUUAAAAUUGAAAAUUUUAUUUUAAAUAACAAAAAUAUUUAAAACUAUUUAAAAAUAUAACAAAAUAAAAUAUUAUAAUUAAUAUUUGUAGAUUAUAAUAGAUGAAAAGAAGUUACUUUAAACGUUGAAGUGAUAUUUUGUAAAUAUUUUGAAUAAUAUCUAAUCUCUUUAAUUUAAUUUUUACAACUCUAAUACGUUUGAAAUGUGUAAUAUAGUUUCAAUUUGUCCGUGUACUAAAAAAACAACUUUAGUUUUAUGGUAGAUUCCAAAUUGAUAUGUUUAAAAUUAAUUGUUAGAACAUAAAUAAAAAAUGAACUUUUAUGUUUGAUAGUUUUCAUUGAUUAUGUACGUAUUUAGAAUUUUAAGAUUUUGUAUUAAAAUGUAAGUUUGGAAACAUCGAACCUUUUGAUCUCGAGGUUUAUUAUAAAUUUAAACCAUGUGUUUGUUGAGCUAUAUUUAGUUUAAUAGUCUAAACAUAAAUAUAGAUGGGUAUACACACCUAAAUAUAUUGGAAAUAAAAACAAAACAUUACUAUAUUGGUACACAAAUAUUACUUUCCUCUAGGUAACCUCGAUCAUGUGACCAUCCAUAUCAGUGAGGUGAAAACAUGAUUAGAUUCUUAGACAAGUGGGUUUACAGGUAAAGAAGAGUAAGCCAAGUGGAAUUUGUAGAAUAUAUUACAUGCCAAUGGGAACAAUAAUAUAGCCACAAAAACCCUAGAUAAUGUUCCACGUAUUUGAGAUCAUAGUAUCUUUACUUGAAUACAACAAUGUUAUCCUUUCUAUAAAGAAGAGAGAAUUUAAUUAAACUAGAAUAUUAACUACACAAAGAUAAGAUGGAAUAUAUUAAUUAUCUUUACACAUGAAUGCAAUAAUUUGAAAAGAACUUAUUCCCAUCAUACAAUUUGACUAUAAAAUUUGAAAGAAAACAAAUAUAAGAAGUGGAAGCUAAAAACAAUAUUGUUAUCCAAAUAGAUAGGAUGACCUAUUUUACCAAAUUUAUUAUAAAUUUAUCCUUUUUUUCGUGUGGAGAAUUUAGAAGAGAAACGUUAAGUGUGUUUUAGUGAAUGAGUCCACCACUCAAUGCAUUUUGUUUCUAUUUGGAGCAUCGUAUCUAAACUAGGUAGUGAUUAUAUAAUUUAACUAAAUAGAGUAUUGGUCCAUAACAUGUAUUUUAGUUUUGAGCUCGAAAUAUCAGUCAUUCUAGUCUACCACUGUAAACAGAAAUAUUGAUUUUACAUAAAGAAAUUUAGAAGUCUAUUUCUCAAAAUUUGUCAACAAAAGAAUAUAUGAUGGACUAAAAAAAUGGUAAAAAUAGUAGAAUAGUAUAGUGGUUGAAAUGGUUAUAGAGAAAAGUUUGCACAAUGAAAAAAAGGAAAAGAGAUUCUAAAAAGAACAAAUACGAUCAAAGGGUUUCCUAUUUCAUUCUUUGAUAUCAUUGAAAGGGUUUUCUUGUCUUUUUAUUUUCAAUGGAAAUGCCCCCAACCCCACCACUUUGAAUGGAAGAAAGUUUUUAAAUUUCGUGUCGUAAUCUACAAAAUUCCAGCAAUUUCCAGCAAAUUAAAGGACUUGUGGUCCUCAAACUUCUAAGCCCUUCCUUGCAAUUGCCAAAUGGUAGGUCACUCCACCCCUAAAUCAAAAAAAUAUCACAUUAAUAACUUUUGGGAUAUCAUGUUGUUGUGGCUGUGCCUCUCAACUCUAUAUGCAUUAUUCAUAUCAUAAAGAACAAACCACUUUCUUUCUUCUCCAUGCUUAGAAUUUUCUAGAGCUCUUUUCCCCUUUUUGAUACCUUUUCGUGUAUUCUCAUUCUUGAGAUUUUAAAAACGAUUUAAUCCAAAUGGAAUAUUUAACAUCAUGUAUAUAGGUUGAGCUUUGAUCAAAUUCACUUGAUGCACUAGUGAUGAUCAGUUAGUUGAUAUAGAAAAUAACGAGAUUUGUACGUUAAUAUCUAAUUACUACAUUAGUUCUAAUGUUUAAAUAUAAAAAAAUUAGGAAGUAAACAAGGAUAAUACAUGGAUGAAAGAAUAUAUAGUAUAGAAGAAGAGAUGAGAUAGUUCCAUGACAACUAUGAAAAGAAGUCAAAUCCUUAAAAUUUUUUGGACUAGAAGGGUGAAUUGCCCUUGAAAACAUUUGGGUCUGUCUUUGAGCAAACUAUGGAGGAGUGAAUUUGUACUUUCAAUUACAAAAUCUUUGAUUUAUGUUUGGAAGAAGAAGAAAAUGGAUGGGUUAAAUAGCACUUAUGUAUAUAUGCUUUAUUUGUCCACUGGACCCAAUUGUUUUAUGGUGUUUUCUGUUGGACCUUGGUGUUGGUGGGCUUUUGCUUCUUGUAUCAAUAAUUCAAUAUUGAACUAUCUUACUUUAAUAGGAGAAAAAAAAUUGAACUAUCCAAAUACAAAGGAUAGCACCAAAUAGGGAUCGAAUUUUUAAUCCCCGAUUAAUAUAAUUUUUUUUUCACUUUUGUCCACCAUUAUAGAAAAAAUGACUGAGAAGUAACUUAUUGGUUAACGACAUUCUUCUAUUUAUAUAAAAAAAAAGUUAUGAUUUCGCUAAAUUAGAUAAAUACACUUAGUUGAACUAUAGCUGAAUUGUAAUUCCUCUAGAUUUGAUUCACAAAUUCAACAAUGUUACAAUUAAAAAUCUAAAUUUGUAAUUAAUUUUAUAAUGUACUAAGAACACAAUAUUAUUUUCAGAAAACCCCCUAGAAAUGAUCAUAUUGUUAUAAUUAGCCCACAUCUCCUCUAUUUUCUUUUGCUUAUUAGUUAAUGAACCGCUAAAACAGCUCCCCGCCACCGCUUGCUCUAUUACUCCCCUUCUCAGAUCCUCACUCUUCACACUCCAACUCCCUCCAGUCUUCAACAACCGUCGGUGGAGCUCCACUUUCCGACGAUAAGGUAAAAUUUCUAACAAAUUUUGAUGUAUAAGUCAUGUGCCUUCUUUGGUUACUUUUAGCUUACCAAUUCAUGUUCUGAAUCAUGCCCAUCCAAUUUCAGAUCACAUUGUUUCAUUGGAAUUUCCCCUGGUUAACUGCAGCUGAUCUGUAUGUCAUUGCCAAUGCUGUUUUGUUUUCUCUAGUUUCGGGUUGAUCCGAUUAAUCGGCAGGGAAAUUGUGACGUCUGGUCUGCAGUCAUUUAGAAUUGGCCGUUGAUUGGUUUUUUAAGCUUGAGUCUAGCUUCGAGAUGGAAUGGCCCUAAUUUGCUGAUUGAUUUUGCAAUUUGUUUCUUGGACGAAUGAUUUGUGGGUCGUUUUAAUCUUCGUCUCUCGGGUCAAGGUUGUAGAGAUUUACUUGAAAACGGUUUGUGACUGUUCUGGGUUUUCUUUCUUACGCAAGAAAAUGCCGUCGGUCUUGCACCAAAGAUCCACUCACAGCUCACUUGCAAAUUCAUAUCCACUUUCUCCUCGUUCUUCCUCGAGUUCUGAAAGAUCAUUUUCCAUAUUCAGUCCUAUAAACCUACUUGCUCUGCUUUCUCUCAUUGUGAUUCUUGGAGUCUUCUUGCCCUGGAUGAAUAUACAAGAGAGUAUUUUCUCAAGCUCCAAGGUCUCAAACUCUAAAUGGCGAGAGUACUCAUUGGCUGAAGCUGCGUCGUUCGUUGCGAGGAAUGGGACUGUGAUUGUUUGCGCUGUCAGCCAACCCUACUUGCCCUUUCUCAAUAAUUGGUUAAUUAGUCUUUCUCGGCAGAAGCACCAUGAGAAAGUUCUUGUUAUUGCUGAGGACUAUGCAACGCUCUAUAAAGUGAAUGAACGGUGGCCAGGGCAUGCAGUGCUCGUCCCACCAGCUCCUGAUGCUCAAACCGCUCAUAAAUUUGGUUCUCAGGUAUGCUUUCAUGAAUUUUUUUGCUAUCAGUUUUGAUUGGUUUUUUCUAUUUGAAAUGAUAAUUUUGAUUGCUAUAUAAACUUAUAAUCAGUCUUUGUUGCUUCUCUGUUAAAUAUUUCAUCGCAUUUAACAUUGCCUGGGCAAAGAUGUUUUGUUAUUGCAACACUAGUCAUAACAUUUCGUACUUGAAUGUGUUUUCUAAACUUAAGAUUAUUUCAUAACUUUUAUAUCCGGUCUUAAUUUAUGAUUAUUAAUAUUACUACUGUAUAACUUUCAUAUAAUGCCUUAAAUUUCAAUUGAUAUUAUGUGAUGGCAUUUCUGUAGUGAUACUUACCCCAUGAAGUAUAGAAGCUUCAAUUUUAUUGCUCCUUCCAUCACUUACUAAUUUGAUCUUCAAGUCAUCAACAUCAUCUCUCUCUUUGUUCUCUUUGUAUGAAGCAUUUUAUAGAACUCAAGAAACUCUUUCUUGAAGCAUUUCUUUGGCCAUCGAGAACAUGUUCACUCAAUUUCCUUCCCAUCAAUCCUGCUUUGCCCUGUCUCCUAAUUUAACUUCUCCCUUCUCAUGCUCAGUUCUUAGAUGUAUAUGUUUGAUCUUUAGCCAAAUUCAUUGCCUGUAUGAAAUGAAAAUGAUGGCAUUCACUUUGUAGGGAUUCUUCAACUUCACAUCCCGGAGACCACGACACCUACUACACAUUUUGGAGCUUGGUUAUAAUGUUAUGUACAAUGAUGUUGAUAUGGUAUGGCUGGCUGAUCCAUUUCCUUAUCUGCAAGGGAAUCAUGAUGUGUACUUCACAGAUGACAUGGCUGCAGUAUGUACAACUUUUCUCUCUCCUCCUCCCAGUGCAAUGUUUGUGGAAAUGGAUUGCUUGCAUGCUUGCAUAUAAACUCUAAUUUAUUAUCUUUUUGUUCUUUGGGCAAGAAAGAGAGUUCAUAUAAGUCUGAGAUGUUUAAAUGCAAAUGGUGGAGGACUUUAGCUUCCUGAUGAAAAUUUGUACAUUUGCUUAUUUCUUUGAUCAAUCUAUAGAUUUGACUUGAACAUGUGGUACUUACAGAUCUCCAGUUUAAUAGUUUGAGAACUUGAGAAAUAUGGUGACACUACUUCUUAGAUUUUGAUGAAAAGUGUUUGCAUUGUUGUUCAACAACGUGCACUAGCUUCCUUUUAAUUUUGUCCUCACCUCGUUACAGGUAAAACCAUUGCACCACUCUCAUGAUUUGCCACCUCCGGGGAAAAAGGGCCGCACUUACAUAUGCAGCUGCAUGAUUUUCCUACGUCCCACCAGUGGAGCAAAACUGGUCAUGAGGAAGUGGAUUGAGGAACUUAAAGCUCAGCCAUGGUCCAAGGCAAAGAAGGCAAAUGAUCAACCUGCUUUCAAUUGGGCACUAAAUAAAACUGCUGGAGAGGUUUGUUUUUCUAGUCUUCUAGUUUUCAAUAUCAUAUCCUAAUUGAGCUGCUAGGAUCCCAUAUGAUAGCAAUUAAGCUUACAAUACAUGCAUAUAUAUAAUGAAAGGAGCAUAAAAUUUACACCAUGCGAGAACAACAAAGGAAAGUGAAUUGUCAAAUUAUCAAAUGAUUACAUUAAUUUAGUUAAAAGUUGCAAACUAUGAUACUUCCAGUUCCAAUAGGUGAAUAUAAAGAAAGAUUUUGCUUUGUCUUAGUGAAUGCACCGUGAAAACCGUAAUGAUACCAGUGGUCAUACCAGCUUGUUGGGGCUACCCAAAGGAUGAAAGUUUGGAGAGUCGAAUAGAAACUGAGGUUCAUUUACUGAAUUUCAGCUUCCAAACUGAGUCUUCUCAAGUCAAGACCCAUGUGCUUGAUCUUAGUUUUUAAAGACCAAGCUUUUCAUUUUACAAUUUCUUGGUCUAGAUCUUUAACCUUUUAACAACUUUUUAAAGCCUACAGAGUAUAAGUUUUUGGCUUAUUCUGUUUCACCCUUCAAAAGUUGGUUAAUCUCCAAACGGGUUUCUGCCUGAAACUCAGAUCCUUACAUUCUUCGAAUUGGCAGUUGAAAUCUAUCUUAAAAACUUCCAAAGGGGACUAAAUUUGCAGUGGGGACUGGUCGAGACACAAUUUUUUUUUCCUUUUCUGAGGGCACAUUGAAUGGGAUAUUGUCCUCCCCCAUUGUAUUUUCCUAGUUUAGACUUUGGUUGCUGGACUUCUAACAUCCAUCUUCAACUUUUGGAGCUCCUCUCACUGCUCUUUAUUGGUGCAAGUGUGAUAAAUUAAACGCCCUUUCACAGAUAUGGUAUUUCUUCUUUGAUUUUCAAUUUGGGAUCUUUCACGUUGGUUAAGUCUGUCUAUUUAAUUUCUCUACCAAAUUGCUUUUUUCUUUUCUAGAAAGAAGAAAGAAAAAUUAUCACGUACUUGGAACCUUUGAAAAUGGAAAUCCUAGAGUAGGGGUUUUCGCUUGACGCUCCCUUCCGUUUAUUUCUAGGAUGAACCAGACAAUUAGGGACUUUCUUAUAUCAUCCUUUUUUCUAUAGGCAUUAUUGAUGAAAGUGGGGUGGAUAAUCCCUCAUCUUUCAUUUGGUAUGGAAAAGUUUCCAAGUUCCCCCAAAAUUACCAAAUUCUCCGAGUUCCCCCAAAGUGUUGCAUUUUCUUGUGAGAGUUUGUUCUUGGCAGGAUUAGCAAUUUUGUCUUAGAGAAAAGACGCCAUUUUCUUUCCUUCUUCCCUGGCUGGUCUUACCUGUGUAAACAGAAUUUGGAGACUCACUCAAGAGUCAAUACCAUAUGUUCCUCUCAUGCCCUUAUGCUCGUCUUAUAUGGUCAUAGUUAUUGCAGAUUCUUAGCAUCUCCUCCCUCACAAAUUGACAAGUUUGCUUCCCAUUUUCGUAGGAGGUUUUCCUUUAAAAAAUUAGAAGAAAUUCCUGUGGCUUCAACUCGGGUGGGCAAGGGAUUUCUUUUGGUUAAUUUGGUUAGAAAGAAGCAAUGAGAAAAAAAUUUAAAGGCUAUUUUUAGGAAUAGUUCGUUGUUUUCUGCUUUCUUGGUGUAAAUUCUGCGUUCCUUACAAAAAGUUUAAUUCUCUCAUUGCCACUUGGAAGACUCUGUAGUAACUUUCUUUGAUUGGGGCUUCGGGCUUGGCUUUCCUCCCCUUUUUUUAUUUUUAAUUUCUUAUUUUAUAUGAAAUGGUAUAUUGCUUUAAUUUACAAAACUAUUAAUAUAUAAAAUUUUGGUUAGGAUUUUGAAAGUAGAUUAUUUCCAUCUUUUAGUCAACUAAGCUGCUAAAACCAACUGAUCCAGUAGUUUGUUCAUACAAGGCCCUUAUUACUUGGAUUAGAUCUCUUAGCUAUUCCAUGUAUGAGGGAAGAAUCCUUCAAUAAUUUUUAGUCAAUAUGAGACAAUGUAUAUUAAAUUUUCUUAUGAAGAGAGACUGUGCAUUUUAGAUAACUACCUAAAAAUGGUUACAUUGAUGAUACACAGGUGGAUCUAUACCUGCUGCCACAGUCAGCAUUCCCAACAGGUGGAUUAUACUUCAAGAACGAAUCAUGGGUUCAGGAAACCAAGGGAAUGCAUGUUAUUAUACAUAAUAAUUAUAUCACAGGGUUUGAGAAGAAAAUUAAACGUUUCCGAGAAUUCAACCUGUGGUACGUGGAUGAUCAUACUCUCGAGUCUCCUCUUGGUCGAAUAUGAGAAAUUAAUAGAUGUUAUCACAAUUCUUCCCGCAAUACAAGGUAUACUCUCUUUUAGAACUGUUUAACCUUAGGAAGAUUUAGUUCAAUUUCCUUCUUCCUGGAAUAGUUUUGGGAGUGCGUUUAGGUUGGUACUAUAUUUCAUUCACAAUUUGUUAUCAUGACAACACUGUAGCAACACAUAGUAAGAUUAUUAUUAUCAUCAUUCAUUGAACAUUAAGUAUUGAUUAUUGUAAUUUUGCUCUGAGAAGUUCCCUCAGUCUCAUUUAUCAAAUUCCUUUGAAAUAUUGUGUAUAGUAGUUAUAUACUUGGAACUUUAGGGAGGUGCUUUCUAUUGGAGCAUAGGAAUUUCUAACAUUCUUGGUCAAAUUUUUACCAUGUUACUCCAUUUCUUACUAGAAUCUGAAAAAAUGAAACAUAAGGUACCAUUUAGUAACUGUUUUUGGUUUUUAUUUUUAAUAAACUAAGUUUUCCUCUCAAAGUUUAAUUUCUAGUCAAAUUUAAAAAACAAAGACUGUUUUUUACGUUUUCAAACUUCCGGUUUGGUAAAAAGUUUAUAACAAAUCGAGAAUUUAGAGGGAUGGGUGCUUUUAGACUUAAUUUGAACCCAAAAAAAAAACAAAAAACAAAAAAUCUAAAUGGUUAUAACUCCACAAUUAUUUGAGGUACUUGAACUUUCCGCCUACACAAAUGCGUUCAUAUUCGUAUGCUCAUAAUAUUAUGACAUACCUUCAUCUUUUUUACUCAUUCCUAAUAAGUUCUUACAUACUAUUUUUUAGCUAAUUUAAAAUUUGAAAAAAAUAGAGUGAAACUUAUGUUGAACUAUCUUAGAGAUCAAACGAUGGAUCAAGUCUUUUGUUUCUAAUUUUGACUCCACUUGGCUUUGAGAUCUAGUUUUUAAACUUAACCCUCUAUUUGAUUAGGAUAAAUUUUGUUUCUCAUUCAUGAUUUGAAUGACUUCGCAGAUCAAAUCCUACGGGUAAGCUAUCCUCAACCACAAACUAUUAUCAUGGCAAAGAAUUUUAGCUGAGAUAACUCAAAUGGCCUCAAUGUUAUUUCAAUCCAAAUUGGUUCCUGCAAGAAGAAACGGAUUUUAUACAAACCUUCAAAUGACCCAACAAAUGUCUAAUAAGUAAAUAUAAAGGUGUAACUUCCUAAUAUGUCAAAUUACAUAAUGGGUUACUAGCUCGAGUAAUCUAAUAAAUGUGUAUAGAUGAAACAUUUUGGUCGAGGAGAUUGAACUUCUUACAUAGCAAGCGGCCAAAGUCGGUUCGAUAUAAGAGGAAAUUUUCGAUAGAUUGGACAUCUUUAUUGAUAUGGGUACUUUUUGUGAAACCAAAUGCAAAAGUUAUGAGAGUUUGUGGUUGUAGUAAACAAGAUGGGAAUAUAUCGAGUUUUUGUUGUUUUUAAUAUAUGGUUGAGUCCGGAAGAGAUCUUAGAUUAAAAGAAAAAACAAGGAGAUCCUGAUUAACAUAGUAACUAGAUAAGGAGCGGAAUCGUGAGUUGUGAGAAACAAUUAUUUCCAUCACAACAACAUUUUGGAUGAAAAAAAAAACAAAUGAAAAAAGAACAAAGCAAGGAGUAGUUACGUCCAAGGACGACCAUGUUGGAUACUUUGAAAAGUAUUAUUUUAGUUGAAUUAAACCGUGUGUAUUAGAAGCUUGAUUUGCACUUGACUUCAUUUAAUUUUUAGUUGAACUAAAGAGUGUGGUAGAAGCUUGAAUUGCAUUUGACUUCAUUUAAUGUUAGAUUAAGUUUUAACUUUACACACUUGACUUCAACAUGAAUUUAUCUCAAUGAAAGAUUAAGUUCUAACUUUACAUUCAUUCAACACCACUUGACUUCAAUAUCAAUUCAUCAUAAAUGAAGUUAGAGAUGCUCUUAACUUCAUGAGUUUACUAUUAAAAACUAUUAAAAUGAAGUUCGAAUUGAUUUAAUCAACUCUCUUAUGAAAUUAAAGCAUUUUUAUAAUAGAUAAAAUAUAUCUAAUUUUUUGUAAAAGUCGAAUUUUAAAUGUUGAAAAAUCACAUAAUUAAAAUUAAGAAUUGUUUCAAGGCCUUGGUUCCAGCUGUAUGAUUUGAUCUCAUAUAAGUGGUUUUUAAUGGAGUUGAUUAGUGACCAUAGACUAUGUUUUCUCCCAACCAAAUCCACCUAAUAUUUUGCCCAUUUAAAUAAUUCAAUCUUUUAUUUUCUAAAAAAAAAUUAACCAAAUAAUCUAUCUUUUUUCUUUUUUGUUUACACGUGAAAGAUAAGUGAGUUAAUAAAGUUCUUACUUUCGUAUUUAGUGUGAAAAUGACGUCCAGGUAUUUUAAUUUAAAAUUUAGAAUAAAUAUCUAAACCUAAAAUGUUAUGUCUUAUCCUUGUAGAAAAAGUGUUCAUGUUUACGAAUAUUUAACUAUAUUCAUAUUUGAAAAGAAAUAAAUUAAUACUGUGAUGAGACUAAUUUAUAAAUUAAUAUUGUGAUGAGACUAAUUUAAAAUCAAGUACAAAAUAACAAUAUUUAUAAGCAAUAACGUUCAACUUUACUGGUAUUUUUGUAUGGACAUAGUUAAAAUAAGUGCGAUUUUGACUGAACUUAUCACUUAUAGUUGUAAAAAUUAUAUUAAUUGACAAAUAAUCGAAAGAAACUUGGUCGUAAAGCUAUGUAUCCUUGAUGGUGACGAUUCUCUUUAAUUGCCAAUUACAUAACCACAUACAAGUGUUCCUCUCCCUCCAACAUGAAAACAUAAAUAGUCCUCUCACUUUACCUACCAAGAAACUCGAGAUUUCAUAAAAAGUGGUUUUUUUUUUCUAACCCAUCUCACAAUCUUAUUACCAAAUACAACAAUUUGAAGUGGAACUAUUCAUACUUCAAAUCUCUUUGUUCAAAUUGAUAAUUUAUGUUUCAUUAAACUAUACUCUCUUGUGUUUUAGUUCAUAGUUAAUACUGUACAAUUGAAAUUAACGUAUUUAGAAAACAAUGAAUAUCAACUAUACUUUGAUUAAAAUGUCAACUACAAUGAUCGGAUAUAAAUUUAGAUUGACUUAUAAUAAAAUAAUAAAAAUAAAGUAUUUUUUCCUUUUAUUUCUUAUGUUUUAAAAUAUCCAUUUUUUGUUAUUAAACAUUAUAAAUAAAUAUACAUUAACAUUUUUUUCAGUUUUUAUUUUUAUUUUUUAAUUUGGCUCAUGUAAUUAUUUUAGCAUAAUAUAAUUUUAUUUAUUUAUUUAUCGAAAUUAGCUCAAUAAAAAUAAACAUACAUAGAAAAUUACUUUUGAAUAAAGACCAUUUUUCAAGGCAAUAUAUCAAUACAAUAAUAAUAAUAGCAAUUUAAACUUUUCACUUUCUUACACUCUUACCUAUUGUACUAAGAAAGAUAGUAAAAAUGGUAAAGUAGCAACUUGUUCGCUACAAAUAAUUACGUUAAGACGGGUCGAAAGAAAGUGUUAUUUAAAAUGUUAAAAUAAUUGUGAUCACGAUUAAAGGAUUUGGAUGAUAAUUAUUUAAAUUUGUGUAAUAAAAAAAACUAUUACUCAAAUACAAGGAUAAUUCAACUAAUAUAAAUAUGUACCAAAAAAUUUGAAACUUUUAAUUCUUCAAUAAAUAUUUUAUUAACAAGGAAAGAAAGAACAGUUAAACUAAAGGUUUUGUUGAGUUUAACCAUUUUAAUCCGAAAAUUAGGAUAAGAUAAAAUCAUUACAAAGACAUAAAAACUCGCUGUCUACUAAAAAACAAGAACUAAAGGUGGUUAAACUCAAUGGAUAUAAAAUUUACGGGUAACGGCUAGAUCCUUCCAUUUUCUGCCUAUGGUAAAUAUGAUUCUUUUGUCAAGAUGAAUUUAUAAUUAAUCACGUGGUUCUAAGAGUUAGAAUUUAGUAUUUAUGAGUUGAUAAACUUGGAUGGAGGCCACCUAUAAUUUGAUUAAAACGAGAUUAUUUAUGAUGAUUUUAUAGAUGAUUGAAUUAUUUUGAGUGAAUUAUCGUACAAAAUUCAUAAAUUAGGGUUGAAAGGAAAAAGAAGAAAAAUCCAAAAUCCAAAAAGUGUAUUUUCUUAAUGAACAACCAAAAUUUGGUUAAGCAAUAAAAAAAAGAAAAGAAAAAAUUUCUUGUUUAGUGAGGGAGAUUAUAUGAUGGUUUACGUAUGUUAAUCUCUAAAAGAAGUUGGAUACGAUCUAAAAAUGGAGUGUUGUUGAAACAGUAGUACACUAGAAUCUUUCAAUUUCAAGAACGUUACUUCAAAAAAUAGCUCUUCAUUUGUUUUACGUAAUCACAAAUUAAAAUUCUUUAUUUGGCAAACCAAAGAAGAGAAAAGAACCCACCAUUGCCUGUAAAAUCUUUGAAAAUCUUUGAUCUUUAAGGAGACCCAUUGGAGUUGAAGUUUGACGAUUCACGACGAUGCUUAUAUCCACGUCAACAUCUUUUCUUCUCUCAAACCUCGCUCCCUAACUUCACCAAUCUCUCUCUCUCUCUCUCUCUCUCUCUGUUUUACUCAACUCACAAGCAUCUUCUACUUAUUUGCUUUCAAUUUACUGCUUCUACUGUGCUAAAUCUGUCUCAGUGACAGACCCAUUUAAGCAAUUGUCGGCGAUUACUGGGUUAUUUGUUGCUUUUCCAUUCUGAAUCUCGAAUUUCCCAUCUUUUGGUUGUGAAAUUGGUGUUAUCUGAUGCGAUUCAUUGUGGGAUGUUGAGUUGAUGCGUUUUACUUUACUGUAAUUGGAUGGAAGCAAAUGGGUUCACUGGAAAAUGGAUUUCCAUUGAAGAGAGACCCACUUCUUCGUUCUUCAUCGAGUGUUAGAGGGGAAAGAUACCCAUUUCUGCAGAGACCCAGAUCGAGGUUUUCACGGUUUUUGUUUUUCCGGAAGAUUGAUUACCUGCAAUGGAUUUGUACUGUGGCUGUGUUCUUUUUCUUUGUGGUUCUUUUUCAAAUGUUCUUACCUGGAUCAGUCGUGGAGAAGUCUGAGGUUGCUCUUAAAGAUGUGGAGAAAAGUUUAGGGGAUUUGAAGUUUUUAAAGGAGCUGGGCAUGCUGGAUUUUGGGGAGGAUAUUCGAUUUGAGCCGUCGAAGCUUUUGGGGAAAUUUAAGAAAGAGGCAAGAGAAGCGGACUUCUCAUCUUUUAAUAGGACAAGAAGUCGUUUUGGGUAUAGAAAACCUCAGCUUGCACUGGUAAGUUUGCUACCACAAUCUUAGCUAUAUUCAGGAAUUAGUUCAAAUCUUGAGCUCUUGCCAUUGUUGUUCUCAUUUAGUUGUUUUCUCUGUUAAUGCUUGCUUUAAGUUCUUCCAUGGAUUCUGAAUUCAUCUCUCUUACUUCAUUGUCUUGUGUAGAUUUGACAGUACAUAUGAGUCUUAUACUUCAAUUGAAUAUUACUCAAUUCAUGUCUGAUGUCGUUCAUAUUAAAAUUCCUUUUAAUGUCAUUGUCUCUUUUGUAGGUAUUCUCAGAUCUUUUGGUCGAUUCUUAUCAAGUGCUAAUGGUAACCAUUGCAUCUGCUCUUCAGGAGAUAGGAUAUGUAUUCCAGGUAAUUCGUUUUUGUAAAGACCAGAAUGUAAUAGUUGUUACAGAUUGUCUUCUUUAAUCCCGAUUCACCUUCUAUUAUGUAGUUUAGUUUUUGUGGGAUUUGUUGGUUAGGAAAGGAGUAAGCAUGCAGUAUUCCUGGAAUUCCCAACUUCAAAUAUCUUGAUGCUGUUAAUACUUGAUACUGUUGAUACUGCUGUUCUUCAUACAUCUUUAGAAUUUCCUCACAAUUGUUACUGCCUCGCUGGCCAUUCUUAUCUUUGAUUUUGUUACUCUAUUUGUACUUAAUAGGAUAAUAAAUGAGAAACACUGUUGGUUUUUUUCUCUCUUGAAAUCCUAUGGAUGAACAUAAGUUGACGCUAUCGAACAAUGCAACAUCAAAAUAUAAAGGUUGUAUCGUUGUAGGCUACACUUUGCUGCAGGAUGUUGACUUAAAUAUUAUUGUGAAGGCAUUUAUGAAUUUGUUCACCGUUCUAUACUUGAUACCCCCCCUUAUUGCUAUAUCAUACCUUAUCCUCUUCGUCUUCGUAGAUGCAUAUUUGAAACUACAUUAUUUGCUCAGAAUUCAAAUAUUAUUUUUCUUGUUUUGUUGACUUGCCAAAUUAGAAGUCUAGAACUAACUUCAUCAGCAUAAAGUUGCCUUAUUUACUUUAUAUGACAUCUGCCAUCAUCUGCCAUGGAAAUUAUAUACACAAGCAUAUAAUUGGACAAUUCAACUGUUUGCUCUACAGGUUUAUUCUCUUCAAGGCGGGCCAGCAAAUGAUGUUUGGAGGCAGAUGGGAGUCCCAGUAACUCUAAUUCAAAGUUGUGAUGAGACUGAGGUCAUGGUUGAUUGGCUAAAGUAUGUUAGUGCUACUUAUCUCAAUAUUUUGACCGAAUGACAUUUAUCUCUACAACGUUAUAUUAAAUUAGUUAUGUCUUGUUUCUUUUUCUAAUUAUUUUUAUGAUGUUUUUUUCCAGCUAUGAUGGCAUACUUGUGCACUCUCUUGGAGUGAAAGAUGUCUUUUCCUGGUAAGAAUGAGUUUGGUCUCUCCCCUUUCCCUUUUUCUAUUUCCCCACCAAGAAUGAGUGUAGUCGUUUGAUUGUCAUGAAAAAGUAUACUGCUUCAUAAAAUGUUGGAUUGGUGUUGCCAUUGCUUUAAUAGAAUUACCAUGAGUUACAUUCAGAAAAGAUGGUUCUUCGAAAAGAUGGUUCUUCGAAAAGAUGAACUUUGGUUUCAUAAUUGGGGGAGAAUUUCCGUAGUCUUCUGUUCAUUUGUGCCUAUUCUAAUAGAAUUACCAUGAGUUUUACAUUCACAUUCAGUAAAGAUACCGAUUCCAUCCUUGCCAAGAUACCCAAAAUAGGCCCUUGCAAAGUUAAACCACAGGACUUCCUUUUCUUUGCUGAAUCAAGAGAUUCCAUCUGCCUUAGAGGGCCUGUUCGUAAGGCGACGGCCCAACUAAAGUUAGAUAAGCAUGGUUUCCAAAAUAAAUCAGCAAAGGUGCAUUGUACAAAAAGAUGGCUGAUUGAUUCUUCUUCACUAUGUUGGAGAAGGACAGAAAUUGGGAGAAAUAAAGACCCAAGGACUGUGCCAGUGAGGCCAAGACUAAGCUCCCAUAAUUUUUAUUUUUUUAUUACUUGUUAUUAUUAUUUUUGAAAUGAGAUUCUUUCUGCAAAGAGUUGUAGAAAGCCUCAUGAAGUUAGUUCCGCAAAGAGUGUUCACACAAAACUGGGAGCUAAUGACUAAUAAUAUGUACCGUUUUAAACUAAAUUUGAUGACUUAGGGUUAAAUCAUCACUUUUUGAAAUGCCAAAACUGAAAUAGAACCUUUUCUAAUCACUCAAAGGACUAAAAGGGUAUAUUCUUUUAUUUUUUGAACUAAGAAAUAAAUUUUGUUCAUGUUCCCUUGAUUUUUAUAGUAUAGUUCAUUUUUCCUUUCUGUUUUAUUGUUCUCUGUUUACCUUUUUGCAGCUAAAUUUGUCUUCUUAUUCCAAGAAUUGCAUAUAAUAUUUCCAUCAUCAAUCCAUCUUAUUUGUACUAAUAAUUUGGCAAUAUGCAAAACUCUAUUAUUUAUUUCAAGGAGUGGUGUUUCUUGUCGCAGCUAUCUGCAGGAACCUUUCAAAUCCUUACCACUCAUCUGGACCAUCCAUGAAGAAGCCCUUGCCAUACGAUCUCAAAACUAUGCGUCAGAUGGGUUACUUGAUAUUUUAAAUGAUUGGAAGAGAGUAUUCAACCAUUCAACUGUUGUCGUCUUUCCUAAUUAUGUUAUGCCGGUAAUGGUUUGCUUAACUGCUGAUUAAUAUUAAGAUUAAACACAGAGAUGAACCAAUUGACUAACCUGUAUAUUGAGAAAUUGUUGGUUAGGAUUCAUGCUUUCAAAUGUUGCACAAUUCAAAAUAAAGAUUUUCCAAAUGACUUAUUUGGUAUGAAAUUUGUCAUUCGUAUUGUGUAUGCCAUCUUAAAACUCAUUGGGUUUUCAACUAAAAAAUCAUUUUUCAUAUAUUAUUAACCUGUGAUGUAAUGAAAUUUUCAGUUCUUAUUAAUUGGUUUUAUUAUAUCUAAAAUUUCCACAGAUGAUAUACUCUGCAUAUGAUAGUGGUAAUUUCUUCGUGAUUCCAAGUUUUCCUGCUGAAGCAUUGGAAGCAGAAAUUGAUGUCACCUCAGAUGCUGAUAAUCUACGUGCAAAAAUGGGCUAUGCAAAUGAUGACUUGGUUAUUGCCAUUGUUGGAAGCCAAUUUUUAUACAGAGGCAUGUGGCUGGAACAUGCGAUGGUUUUGCAGGCCAUGUUGCCACUACUUCAUGAGUUUUCUUUCUAUGAACAUUCCAAUUCUCGUCUCAAGAUAUUUGUUCUAAGUGGGGAUUCAAAUAGCAAUUACACGAUGGCUGUUGAGGUGCAUGUCUUCUUUGAUUUACAUCUCUUGUUGAUGAAUUGCUAGCUUUUAUUGACUCGUCCGGUUUCCCUUAGGCCAUUGCUCAGAGACUGGAAUAUCCAAGGAGUGUUGUGAAGCAUUUUCCUGUUGCUGCAGAUUCAGACAAAGCUCUAAGUAUGGCUGAUCUUGUUAUAUAUGGUUCUUGUUUGGAAGAGCAAUCUUUCCCAAAGGUUUUGGUAAAAGCCAUGGGAAUGGGAAAACCAAUCAUCGCCCCAGAUCUUGCCAUUAUUAGAAAACACGUAUGUUUUUAAUUUCUUAUUUCCUACUGUCUGGUAACAUGAUGCAGACAGGAUGAUGCUUGUUCAUAUUCUCACCAGUUCUAACAUGUCAUACAUUUGUUUUUCUUACAUAUUAAAAAAAUCAUAAGUAAGAACCAGUAUACAACAGAAUGGAAAGAUCGGAUAAUCCUUGGCGAAGCCAAAGUCAAAUGAGAUUGGAAGCAAGCUUCAAAUUAAAAUUAUUGUAAGUCAAAGUAUGGCGUAAUUACCGAAAUCUUAGGCACUUAACAGGACAGGAAAAAAUAAGAGUCCCAUGAAGUGUCAAACUUCUGUCUUCCCCUAAGAAAAGUUUCUCUCUAUCCCUAGCUAUGCUAAAUUCCAAAAUGAAGCCUCACAAAUUCGAACCUCAGAAUAUAUGAAGCACCAAAACAAGAGAUGGAUCUUAGAUCAAUGCAAUAGUAUCAUAGUAUGUAUGCAACUUAUUUCUUUUUAAAUCAGCCAUCCACAACUUAUAGUCCAUGAGCCAAGUCUAAAGGAUGAAAUUAACAUUUUCCUAGGUGAUUUCUUUCCAAAGCACCUUGUAGAAUUCCACGUAGAGAACCUCAUCUUAUCGGUUAUGGUCAAAUUAGUAAACAGGAAUGUUACAAGAAAAAUGGUAUGCAAGAACCAAUUUCAAACUGAUAGGUGGCAUCUGAAGAUGCAAACCUCCAAGAAUUAGAGUCAGCCUCAAUCACUCUUCCACCACCCAUCAUUGACGUUUCAUCUCAAGAGCAAGUGUUAUCCUUCAGGGUUUUAAUAAUUGUUGGAGUACAAGAUUUGUUAACAGUUAGUCUAGGCAGAGGAAAAAAAAUUCCACAAUUGUUUUUGAAGUUUGACCAUUUGUUCAAAUCCUGUUCAUAACAUCCUUUACUUCAAGGAAGCUAACCCAUGGAAUAGUCACCUCAAUCCUAUGCAUAUACAUCAAGUUAAAGCUAAUCCAUAGUUGAUAAACUAGCUUUACACCUACCAUGCACACAAAUCAAGAUAGUAUGACAGAGGAUAUGUUCUUUCUCUGUGACUACAAUAAUGAACAAAGAAAUUCAUUUAAAAAUUCUUCAUAUAUUGACCCUUGAUUCAGAAGUUGGAAUUUUGAGUCUGAACAAUGUGAUGUUUUAUCACUUAGAGAAAAGGGUAAAAUGUAUUGAACCUGCUUUUUCACCCUCUCACAAUUGAAUGUUUAUAGACUAGCUCUAUCAUGCUCUUUUUAUGUGCUUGACUUGAUACUGGUUUAAGACCUCUCUUUGGAGAUUCUGUGUUCUUGCUUAUAUGAGCAUAUUUUUGGUUCCUUGUUUCAUCUUCCCUCUCUUCUCCAAAUUAUCCCAAAGACUGUAGCAUCAGUGUUCUCUCAAGGAGGGACUUUUGGAGGAUGUUUGGAAUGUGGGUUAGUGUGACUGUCUUUGCUACCCCUCUAAAUUGCUUAGGAUUUCAAAUUUUUUAUUAAUGACAAUUGGAGUUAAAACUUUUUCCCAUUUUCACAGUCCUUGUAGUUGGUUGAAGUCUUUUCUGUGUAGUAUCUUCCUUCCUUUUGUACUUGUAUGAUGCCUUAUUUUUGUUUUAAAAGAAUACAUUUUUAAUAUGUGCAAAUCCUGGGCAAAGUACUGACUGCACUGGCAAUAACAACUAGGUUGAUGACAGGGUAAAUGGCUAUCUGUUCCCCAAGGGAAAUUUCAAUGUACUUUCCCAAAUUAUUUUGCAAGUGAUCUCGGAAGGGAGAUUAUCACCACUGGCUCAAAGUAUUGCUUCAAUUGGAAGAGACACUGUGAUAAACCUGAUGGUUUCAGAAACUGUGGAGGGAUAUGCCUCACUACUUGAUGCUGUUCUUAAGCUUCCAUCAGAAGCGGCACCAGCUAAGGAAGUUGCAGAAAUCCCAUCCAAAUUGAAAGAAAAAUGGCAGUGGCAGUUAUUUAAAGGGGUAUCAAAUUUGACUGUCCUGCAGAGGAACGAAAAAAGUUUCACAGUUUUAGAUGAAUUUGAAAAGAAUUGGAACCAUACUCCAAAAAGGAAGCCUGGUAGUUCUUUUGCUCUUAAUGAGUCAUUUAUAUAUGGUAUAUGGGAGGAGGAAAGAUAUACUGUGAUGUCUAAUAUCAAAAGGAGAAGAGAGGAAGACGAGGUAAGAUUAAAAGCAGCACAUCUCCAGUUCUCUAUAAUUUAUAACGAUUUUUUUCUCUUCAAUAUUGAUUUUCUUUCUUCUUGUUGUCUUUAUUACUUGAAUUUGGUAGAUAAAAGAUAGAACUGAACAACCUCAUAACACAUGGGAGGAUGUGUAUCGAAGUGCUAAGAAGGCUGAUAGGUCUAAGAAUGAUUUGCAUGAGAGGGAUGAAGGGGAGCUUGAAAGGACCGGACAGCCAUUAUGCAUUUAUGAACCUUACUUUGGCGAAGGAGUUUGGCCUUUCCUGCACCGUUAUUCUCUUUAUCGUGGAAUUGGGCUGGUGGGUUUCAUGAAAGAUUUAUCCCUGCUUUUUUUUCUAUGUGCAAAUCUGAAGCUGAGAUAUUUUCUGUAACUACCAUUCCAUGACAACUUUGUGCAUUUCUGCAUUAUGAAUCAUUAUAAUGAUUUCUUAAAACUUCAAUGGGAUUCCGAUGUCAACUGUUAACAUUGAUUCUGCUUAACUUCAAUGAUUUUCAAGAUCCGGUGUUGAUUGAUACUUGACUAAUUUAGAAUAUAAUAGAGAAUGAAGUCUAUGUUAAUCGUUCUUAUGUAAUCUCUAAAUGUUGUUUUGAAGUAUUUUGGUUUUUGCCUCAAGAUGGAAUGUCUUACGUAGAGAGUUUUGUAAUUGUUUUCCAAUUUCUAUCCAUGUCAAUUUGGAAGUCAUCGGGUUGUAGUUUCUAUCCUUUCAACUUCUUAUGUCUUUUCAUCAAUCAAAUAAAUGUUUUCUAAUUAAAAAAAAAGUAAAAAGGGGAAUUGUUGAAUGUGUGCUGGAUUUAAGGUGUUGGGGGUAAUUUAUUAUCUUCCCGUAGUUUCUCCUGUUUCUUUUCCCCUUUCUCUCUUUAGUGAAUGUUUCUUUACUAAACAAAUAUAUGCUUGAUGAAAGUUCAAUGCACUUUUCAAAUUUAUGAAAAGAACAUUUUAUUUUUGCAUCAAAAGCUACUCUAUUUACCAUCUUAAUAUAGACGUUCAAAUGUUAUUGUUGCAGUCUAGUAAAGGCAGGCGAUCUGGGAUAGAUGAUGUUGAUGCACCUUCACGACUUCCACUUCUCAAUAACCCUUACUAUCGUAAUGUACUUGGUGAAUAUGGAGCUUUCUUUGCAAUUGCUAACCGGGUCGACCGCAUUCACAAGAAUGCUUGGAUCGGUUUUCACUCUUGGAGAGCAACUGCCAGGAAUGUAUGUGACAUUUCUCCAUUCAAGUUUCUUUUGAAGUUUUGUAUCUUGAACUCACUUUUACAUUCUGUAGUUCUCUUCUACUGAAAAUAAGAAACAGACUACUUGAACUUGAAACAAUUGCUAAGGUUUGUGUCCAUGCAUUAGCUUGGUAAUUGGAAGUUGGAAAGCUAGGCUGCUGGCAUGAUCUUUAGAUUAUUUACACAAAAGAAGUGCACGUUUACACUGUCAAAUAAGAGAUUACAAAACUAUAUCAGCAGAUACCUCCCAUUAUCUUUUCUGCAUGAGCGUGAGGCAAGGAAAAUCCUCAUUCUUGCGAUCUUUCUGGAUUGCAGAACAACUUUUUGACAAAGAAAAGCAAGUCUUUUGUCUAACCAAUGGUGUGGUUCAACAGGUAUCACUGUCAAAAAUUGCAGAAACUGCAUUAUUAGAUGCAAUUCAAACACGAAGAUACGGAGAUGCACUCUACUUUUGGGUUCGCAUGGAUUCGGAUCCAAGAAACCCACUACAGCUUGAUUUUUGGUCAUUUUGUGAUUCCAUAAAUGCUGGAAAUUGCAAGUAAGACAUGAGAACUCAUGGCCCAAUCUUUGUACAGAUUCAUUUGAACUCUAUGCAUGCAUCAGAUAUCAAUUCUUUUUACUAAGCCAUUUUUGGUUGUAGGUUUGCAUUCUCCGAGUCUUUGAAGAUGAUGUAUGGUAUAAAAAGUGAUCAGGAAUUUCUACCGCCCAUGCCUGCAGAUGGAUAUACGUGGUCUGCUAUGCAGAGCUGGGCUCUCCCAACCAGAUCUUUUUUAGAAUUUGUCAUGUUUUCAAGGUUUGCUAGAGAUCUUUCUCCUAUCUUCACUGUGCUAUGGCUAUAGUUCAUUCAUUUGUUCGCCAUUGUUCUAUUGUUUAGGUUUUUUUUUCUUUCUGGUAUUUGCAGAAUGUUUGUUGAUGCAUUAGAUGUGCAGAUGUACAACGAACACCAUUCAACUGGACGAUGUUAUUUGAGUUUGUCCAAAGUAACUCCCCUCUGCAUUUGUGUUUCUCAUAUGUGAACAUGGAACCAUGAGCAUUUUUUAGCACUUGCCGUGUAGAUAAAUUUCAAUUGUUAUGUUGAAAUUCCUAGAGUUGAACUAUACUUUUUUGCAGGACAAGCACUGUUACUCCAGGCUACUUGAGCUCCUUGUAAAUGUUUGGGCAUAUCACAGUGCAAGGCGUAUUGUGUAUGUGCACCCCGAGACUGGCGCAAUGCAAGAACAACACAAGUUUGAUAUACGGAGAGGCCAAAUGUGGAUCAAAUGGUUUUCGUACACUAUGAUAAAGAGCAUGGACGAAGACUUGGGAGAGGAAGCAGAUGCCGAUCACCCCACGAGACGGUGGUUGUGGCCGUCAACAGGUGAGGUUUUUUGGCAAGGUGUGUAUGAGAGAGAGAAGAAUUUACGAUUUCGGCAGAAAGAGCACAGAAAGCAAAAGAGUAAAGCUAAACUAGACAGAAUGAGACACAGGAGACACCAAAAGGUGAUAGGGAAGUAUGUAAAGCCUCCACCAGAGAUGGAAAAUUCAACCACAACAAAUGGUACAGAAACUAUUUUGCAAACUAAUUAACUUGAUGGAAAUUGGAGGGUUAGUCAAAAGUAGAGCCUAAUCUUAAAUUCAUUUCAUUUUUAACAUCUUUUUUUUUUCUUAUCAUUUUUUCUGGAAGGAUGUCUUUGGGUUUUGUUUUUACCUCCUUUCUUUUGGUUCAAAUUUUAUUGUUAUUAUGUAAAAACUACAUCCUUCUUGACUGGUGCCAUUGUAUCUUUAUUCACAUGUAUUAUAUCGUGUUGUUUUUCCUGUUUAGUCCAUUUUUAUGGCAGUUCACUCCUAAAUGUAAUAUAUACUCUUUGGAAGUGAGUAAAUUCGGGUUUUUCUUAUCUUGAUCUAUGAUGAAAAUAUUAUUGGAAACUUAUAUUUUUCUCCAAGCUGUGUGAAUUUGGUUUAUCUUUGAAAAAACAAUUGUGGUAUCUUUUUAUCCUGAAGCUACUUCGUUCUUUUUCCGGGAUUUGUUAUGUCAAGAUUAUUCUAUAAUCUAUUUGUCUCGUUCAACAAGUAUUUAGACAGGGAUAAACAUGGUUUAAGAUCAUAAUCUAUUAUCGUGUUUGAAUUUUCAACAAAUUAUUACUUUACAAAGCCAUUUGAUUGGCAUGGAUAUAAUUCAACCAUCAAAUGUUCUAAACUUAUGAAUGCAAAGUUUUUGUUUCUAAGUAGGCAAUAUUUUUGCUUAGAAAUUUUUACUGUCUGAACGGGGCACGCACUCUUGCAGCACACCUCAAUGAAUGUAUGGUGAAUAGAGGAAAUUAAUUUGGAUAAUUGUGAACAGUAAGUUGGAAAGAUACUUAUGAACAACAAUGACUAUCGAUAACAAAGAUACAUUUUAUUUUUAUAUCACAAAGAUUCAUAGCGGGAUGAAAUAUCACAAAAUAUGGGACUUCACCACAAACAUACAUGAAUUCUAUCUCUCCGAUUUACUUGAAUUGAUUUUGAGAACUUUAUUUCCUUACAAAUGAGAGAUAUCACAAAGUAAUAUCAAGCUUUUAUGCGACCAUUCAACGUAUGAUGUCUUGACAUAGACACGCCACAUCCCCGCCUUUGUUUCUUCUUCCUCGCCAGCCUUUUUUCCAAGUCCUUCACUCUUCCACUCAGUUUAGAUAUGAUGGCUAUCUGUUCUUUGCCAGCCUCCAUCAACUUAUCCACCAUCUCUCUCAUUUUCUCAUUUUCUUCAACCAGUUUUUCGUCCAUCUCUCUGUCUCUUACCAAAUCAUGCUUGUCCACCGUCUCCCGCUGGGCAUUCGGCAAAGCAGGUAGGGACACUUCACCCAUCUCAAUAGAGGUUGCUUCCCCAGUAGCAUGUAACUCGUUAGCCUGGUUAUCUAACUUGCAGGAUGGGAUAUGUUCGAGUACACAUGGGUCUUGUAGCACGUCUUCUGCCAUUUUAUUUUUCGUAUCUGCAGUUUGUUGUUCAUUUUCAUUGGUUACCAUCUCGUUUUUUAUGUUCUCAUUACGGUAGGAUUCUGAUAAUUCCCCUAGCGAUUCUGCAGAUUGAUCACAUGCUCGUCUAGCCUGGUGGUUGUCCCACUCAUCUUCCAGCACCUUCUCCACCUCAUCUGUCUGUUGUCUGUCUUCAUCGGUUAACAAUUCGUUUUGGAUGAUCAGGUCAUCAUUAGAGUUUGAUUGCUCCCCUGGCAGUGCUGCAGAUUCAUCAGGUGCUCCUUGCUUCUCAGUAGGGCUUCCGUCACUAUCUAGUUUGACUGCUAAAUUAUGUGAAUUCUCUUCAGCCUCUGAUACCCCUCUCCUCAUCUCAACGUGCUCAAGCUUGUCAGUUUCGGGUUUAUUUGAAUUGCCAUCCUCUCUCAUUGGAAGUUCCAUAUCUGCAGCCUUUUCAUAAGGUGUUGAAAUGGUUAUCUUAUCAAUUGCUUCAGGUGUUUGUCCUGCUUGUGCUCCCACUUGAUCAUCAGAAUCGGGGCUCAAAACAUGAACUUCCAAAGAAUCUCUUACAGGAUGGCCAUCUUCUGAAAAAUAUCGGUGAUGAUGUAAAGUUUCUUCAUUCAUGUCCAUUUGAAGAACUUCAUCUACAUUUUCCUCUGCAUCAUUGACCAGCUUCACAUUCUGUUCCAUCUCAGCUCCUGAUUCAUCCUCAUCUGCUCGCUUUUCCCCCAUUAGCGAAGGCAUAACUUCUUCACCCUCGAUUUGGUUGGAGAAGUAUUGAGAAGACAAUCCGGAGGUAUCUUCAUUUUGACACCCAUGUUCUCUCGGUUUUGCAAGUUGUUCUGCUUCAGACAUGGUAUUUUGAUCGAUUACUUCCUGUAACUUGCCAUGUCCAUCCCUUGUCGGCUCAAGUUCUUCGCCUGUGGAGGCCUUCAUGCCUGCAAAGCCAGCCAUAUCGUCAACUCUGACAAGAGUUUGAGCUUCAUGCGACUCCCCCAAAAGACUGUCGCUUUCAUUUACCCCCUUGGGAAAGAUUUCACCGGUUGAUACUACAUCCUUCUGCUCCUGCUCCUCCUUUAUGUCGUCAUGGGUUUCCACAUCAAAAUGCUCAGUAGGUUUUUUUAUGGAGGCUUCAGGUACUACUUCUGUAGGCUUGUUAAUCACCAUGCAGUCAAGUUUUUCCUCAAGAGCUACAAGUUCUUUUGCCAAAGAUUUCCGAAACUCCCUUAUACUUGGAUGCAGACCCUAUUGAACGCAAAAGUAAAGAAGAUAACUUAGGAUAGGCCUUCAAAUCUAUAUUUUAGUUUCAAUUUAACAAAACGUAAUUGAUAAAGGAUAGAGAGGGAAUCUUAAAUUUUAAAUCUACUUCAGCUCGAACUGCGUUUAACCAUGGAUGGAAGAGAACUAUACAUUCUAAAACCACAGAUAUGUUCAGACUAAGAUUUUCAAGAUUUUAACAAAUUUAUUUUCACAUCCAUGGCCAGCAAUAACUACUCUACAUUUUAGAAAGAUAAAAGUUACCACUAAGCAAUAAAGGAAGCCAAGGCAUUUUGCAGCAGGAGUUUCCAAAUAUCGUUUAUGCAAUCAUUUUUCUAAAAAAGGAAAAGUAAAAAUUGAGCGUUGAUAAAAUACCUGUAUGGUGUCAAGUUUUAGCAACAGUCUCAUUAUCAUUUCUCCAACAAACAAUUGUUCUUUCUCAUCUUGAGGAGCCAAUUCCAGAGCUUUCACUCGAUUUUGAACCUCUAUGACCUUUUGACGAACUUCAACAAGUUGCUUCAUUUUUUUCAGAAGUUCCCAUUUCCUAACUCCAUAACCACGGUAAGCUGACUGAAUAAGCACGGCUGCUUCAUUAUCUGACAAGUUAGGUUUUUCAAGUUUCCCUUCUUCCUGAGCUGAGCCCCCUGAGCUUACCUCCAAUCGUUCAUCGACUGCCUUCUCAGGAGAUGCUUUGCUUAUUGCUUUGUCUUUCUCUCCAUAUUCUUCCCUGUGACUUUCCUCUUCUUCUUUGCAGAGCUUGUCAGCAGACUUCUCUUGAGACUUAGACUGCGUUGGCAAGCUUAGUGGCUCUCCAGUGCUAGAGACACUCUCCUUGUCCACUUGGUGAUUACCAUCAGGGGUCUCAUGGGUUUUCACCUCUACAGUCUUGAUGAUCUUUUCACCAUCUGGCUCUCCAGUAACAUUAUUGAUCUUUGAAUCCAGUUGAGAACUUCCCUUCACAGCAGUCGAUUGUGGAGAACUCGACCUUGAACUGCCGUUGCCAUUUUUUUUCUUUGCAGGAGGAUCCACUCUAAGACAAACAGGGGGCAAUCUUGAUUUCUUUGGCGAGGAUGAAGAUCGUCCUUUCACAUUAUUUCUAGACAGUUCCUCCUUUUCCUCAUUAUUUUUUACAGCCUCCACAGGGAUGCAUCUCCUUUCUUUAUUUUUCUUGGUGUCUUCAGUUUUGUGAAUCAUAUCCAUUUCAGGAAUAUUGAUCUGAUUUACAGUCUUCACAACUUCAGGACCUUCACUUGUAGCAUCAUCUUUUUUCAGCAUAUUUGUUGGCACCAACUUCCCAGCAUUAAAAGGUUCAUCACUAGGUCUUGCAGGAGCAUCAAGAUUUUGAACAUCAGCUUUUCUAGCAGCCUCCUCUCUACCAAAAGCAGGCAUCCAAAUAACAGGAAAUGGAAACUCUUUCUUUAUGUCCUCCUGUUGCUUAUUUUGCACACUUUGGUCCCCCA
rnacentral:lncRNA from 1 species